rnacentral:lncRNA from 1 species
CCAGCACCUCCUAGAUCAGAUUGGAAGGCUCUGUCAAAGUACAUUUCCUAUGGGUGAGUAAGUUUUGCACAUAAUACUUGUUCAUCAGGGAGAUCACUUGAUAAAGGAGAUUCUGCUGGUACGGGGUGUGUUGCAAGAAAAUCAACCAAGGUUUGGCUCUUGAUGGCCUUUUGUGGGACAUAUGCGAUGUCAAAUUCCAUCAGCAAUAAUGCCCACUUAGAAAGACAUCCUCAUAGGCAUGGGCGUGUCAUGAGAAACUUUACAAUAUCUACUUUUGAUAUAAGUUUCACUUCAUGACCAAGUAAAUAUUGACGAAGCUUUUGUAUUGCGAAGAUCAGAGCAAGGCACAUCUUUUCAAUAGGAGGAUAAUUCUUCUCAGCCCCUUGCAUCCUACGGCUGAGAUAGUAUAACGUUGUCUCUUUCCCCUCGUCAUUUUUUUGAGCCAAUAAUGCUCCAAGUGACUCGUCCAAGGUAGUCACGUACAAGAUAAGUGGUUUUCCCAACAUUGGUGUAGAAAGCACUAGAGGAUUGAGCAAAUACUAUUUGAUGUCAUCAAGUGCUGCCUGACACGCUUCAUCCCAGAUGAAUGGGGUAUCCUUCUUCAACAGGUGCGUGAAAGGUCGGCAACAACUUGAGACGUUUGAGAUAAACCUGUGGAUGUAAGCAAGCUGCCCUUGAAGGGACCGCAAUUCUCGCAGUGUAGUGGGUGGCGACAUUUCCUAGAUCACCUUGAACUUGACUGGCUCGACCUCCCAUUCCAGUGUCUUACAAUGAAACCCAGGAAUUUUCCGGAGUGCACACCAAAGGCGCAUUUCAGCGGAUUCAUUUUGAGCUGAUGAAGGCGUAAUCUUUCGAGCACCUUUUCAUGAUCUUUCAUAUGAGCUUCUUUCUCCAGGGAUUUCACCACCAAGUCAUCGACAUAACAUUCAACCUCCUUGUGCAUCAUGUCGUUAAAGAUGGUCGUCAUUGCUCUCUGAUACGUUGUACCGGCGUUCUUCAAUCCAAAAGGCAUCAUUGUAUAGCAAAAGACUCCUUUUGGAGUCAAGAAAGCGGUGGCUUCUUUAUCGUCUGGGGCCAUUCAUAUCUGGUUGUACUCGGAGUAUCCAUCCAUGAAAGAGAUGAUCUGACAUCGAGUUGUGGAGUCAAUGAGCAUUUCCGUAAAUGGCAAGGGAAAGUCAUCCUCGGGACAAGCGGUACUGAGAUCGCGGAAGUCGAUGCAGACCUUGAUUUGACCAUUUUUCUUCGUGACUGACGCAACAUUUGCCAGGUAUUUUGUGUACUUGACUUCGCGAAUGAAGCCUGCUUGCUUAAAUUUGGUUACCUUAGCAUCUAUCUGCAUUUCAAGAUCAGACUUGAAUCUUCUUGAUUUAUGUUUGACGGGUUUGACAGUCGGAUCGAUGCCCAGACGAUGAACGACAACUUGGGGAUCUAAACUAAGCAUCUCAUGGUAAUGUCAAGCAAAGACAUCUCGAUUUGCUUGUAAAAAGGCAGUGAAAUGCUUUUUCUCCUCUGGAGACAUAUCUACCGAAAUGAAGGUAGGCUUGGGAUCAGCUUGUUCUUCAGGCUGUGAGUUACCAUAGCAUCAAUGUCUGCUUGAGAGAAGGGGUAAGGGAUAAAAUUGUCCUAUGAGACAGGAGGAGGAGGCUGCCUGGGAGGUACAUCUUCCGAAUGAACCGAGUGCCGGGCGACCUCCAUACGGUCAAUCUUGUCCAUCGUAGCUUGGACCAUAUGUUCAAACCUUUCCAUACGGGCCUCCUGAAAGUCAGCAGGUUCAUUUAUAACCAUGACACUGACCGUUUCUCCAGGGCGAUCAGGCUUGGAUGCAGUUGAAGGUUUUUGUGCUUGACAGGUCGUACGUGGUAAGUCAGGCAGUAGGGGAUCAACAUGCCCUGACUGGACCCAACUCUUGUAUGCAUGGCGAUCAAUUUGAUACCAACUUUGAGCCAUGAAUCGUGUUUUUAGGCCACGAUCAUGAGACUUUAAAUUUUCAUAAAUCUUGAAAACUUCAGAUCGAUAGCAUGCUCAUUCCUUGAUGUUUUUUCCUAAUUUCUUCACUGUAGUUCACUGAGCAUGUCGUCACGAUUGUGUGGCAACAAACGGGAAGUGAUUUGGAGCCCAAACGAAGAUUUCACAACUUUUGGGUUUUGGCCGGAAUCCAAAAUCUGAUGGCCGAAAUUUAUAGUCAUUUCGUUGCCUUCGUGUGCAUAAUCUAACCAUUCAUCAUGUACGAGUUUUGGAAUAAUGGUAGCCCUGAACCUUACCCACAUGAUGGAAUUAGUUUCAUGUUGAUCCGAUGCGCGAGCGCUGUGAUUUCGUUGUUCCAGCGAGGCGUGUUGCUGCUGAUUUUUUUACAACUUCUUCACGAAUUGACAACUUCUCUCUAGCUUUUUUCCUUGCUUGGGUGUCGUCACGGGACGUACCACAUAUCGAAACGCUCGUCUUGAUGAGACAAACACGCUCACAAAAUUUGAGAGCGAUCCGACUUUAGACGGGUGAGAUGUAGGCCCCGAAAGUUACUGCGUGUGUCUAUGAAAAUAGUCACCUUUAAUGGUGUUUUGGAGCAGCGUGGCCACACGAGAAUAGUGUGCAGUUCUUCUUGUUUCAAUGUUUUGCUCAUAACUUUAUCUUGGAGUGUCUGAUUAAGCUAAAACUUGACCCAUAAGAGUUUGUGAUUGUGUCAUAUCUAAUGGCGGUGGUCCCACAAUAAUUUGAAGUACAAAAAAUAUAGUUCCAGUUACAUGGUCCGUUUCAUGGUGCUAGAGGCUAAUUUUUCGAAAUUGUUUCGUAUUGUUCAUUGCUUUAGACAUGUCGGGUUGCGACGAAACUUGGCAAUGGCUUUUUGGAGUACUUAUGAAGAUCUUGACCAGUUCUGGGGCUCUUUUGAGACUGUCGAGAACCUACUGUUUUGUCAAGCUUUAUUGACCGGCUUCCUCUUUAUUAUGUAUCAGAGACCAAGGUGCUGAAAAAUGUGUUCAAACAUACGCUCAACACCGAGUCUCCUCCUUAUUAUAGUACUUGGGAUCUAUGAUCAGUCUCUUGAUUCUCUUACAACUGAUCUAUGAUCGAUCUCUUGAUUCUCAUACUACCAACUACCUACGGCCUCAAUACAUUAAUCUUGCUUAAGCCCAUUUGACAUGAUUUUUGGAGCCAUAGAUGUCACACCCCAAGAAUUUACAAUACAGAUAUUCUUGAGAUGUGACAGUCCAAAACAUAUAUACAACUCUUGAUAGGACAAAUUUACAGUGGCGAGGCUUUACAAAGUAAACAAAGAAAGCUAGCACAACAACAAUAUUUUCCAAGGUUGAUCUUGACUAGCACUCAAAAUGAAUCCGCAGUUAUCCUGAAAAAUGUUUACCAUAGUUUGAUGAGUUUGGCUACUCAGUAAGGGAUCAUCAUAAUCCUAAAAAUAAUCAUGGUCGGAAGAUAUCAAUAUUUUCUAAAAGGAGAUAUAUUAACAGAAAUGCAUCAACAGUUUCACUUUCAAUAAAUGCAUAAUUAAGUAUAAUCUGAAUAAUUGAAAUGUAUAUAACACUUUAACGGUAGUGCAUAAUUCAAAAGAUUUCACAAAAUACCCUACUGUCGUCUCAAGUAGGUCACCUAUAUACCCCAUCAGCGUCCUGAUGGGUCCACUUAAUCCCUAUUGGCAUCCCAGAUAGGUCCACUUAAUCCCUGCAGGUCCACUUAUACCUCACCGGCGUACCGGAUGAGUCCACUUAAUCCCUACCGGCGUCCCGGAUAGAUCCACUUAUACCUCACCGGCGAACCGGAUGAGUCCACUUGCAUACUUAAAUUAUUUCUAAAUCUCUUUAAACAUUCGAAAGCAGCAAUAUCAUGUACUCAACAUAUCACUGGAAUCAUUAAUAUGAAUCUCACUUNNNNNNNNNNNNNNNNNNNNNNNNNNNNNNNNNNNNNNNNNNNNNNNNNNNNNNNNNNNNNNNNNNNNNNNNNNNNNNNNNNNNNNNNNNNNNNNNNNNNNNNNNNNNNNNNNNNNNNNNNNNNNNNNNNNNNNNNNNNNNNNNNNNNNNNNNNNNNNNNNNNNNNNNNNNNNNNNNNNNNNNNNNNNNNNNNNNNNNNNNNNNNNNNNNNNNNNNNNNNNNNNNNNNNNNNNNNNNNNNNNNNNNNNNNNNNNNNNNNNNNNNNNNNNNNNNNNNNNNNNNNNNNNNNNNNNNNNNNNNNNNNNNNNNNNNNNNNNNNNNNNNNNNNNNNNNNNNNNNNNNNNNNNNNNNNNNNNNNNNNNNNNNNNNNNNNNNNNNNNNNNNNNNNNNNNNNNNNNNNNNNNNNNNNNNNNNNNNNNNNNNNNNNNNNNNNNNNNNNNNNNNNNNNNNNNNNNNNNNNNNNNNNNNNNNNNNNNNNNNNNNNNNNNNNNNNNNNNNNNNNNNNNNNNNNNNNNNNNNNNNNNNNNNNNNNNNNNNNNNNNNNNNNNNNNNNNNNNNNNNNNNNNNNNNNNNNNNNNNNNNNNNNNNNNNNNNNNNNNNNNNNNNNNNNNNNNNNNNNNNNNNNNNNNNNNNNNNNNNNNNNNNNNNNNNNNNNNNNNNNNNNNNNNNNNNNNNNNNNNNNNNNNNNNNNNNNNNNNNNNNNNNNNNNNNNNNNNNNNNNNNNNNNNNNNNNNNNNNNNNNNNNNNNNNNNNNNNNNNNNNNNNNNNNNNNNNNNNNNNNNNNNNNNNNNNNNNNNNNNNNNNNNNNNNNNNNNNNNNNNNNNNNNNNNNNNNNNNNNNNNNNNNNNNNNNNNNNNNNNNNNNNNCUUUUUUUUUUUUUUUUUUUGAAAGUUUAAGAUUGUUACAAUAGAUUUCAAUCUAGAACCAUUGAACCAACUACCUAAGGCCUCAAUGCCUUAGUCUUGGCUUGAUCUUUGGAGAGAUGAGAGAUAGAUCAAAGAGAGAGGGAGAUAAGGUGAGAUCUACUAACAAGUCAUCCCCUUUGCGACCCAAAAAUCAAACCACCACAAGCUAAUCUUAGCUUGGGCAAUUCUGACCUUUGCUACCCAAAAGUCAAACCAUCAUAAGCUAACCUUAGCAUGGCCGUGCCACCUAGAAACGAGAGAGAUUACUUGGGUGUGCCCUCCUUGGGCGUGCUACCUAGAAACGAGAGAGAUUACUUGGGGGUGCCUUCCUUGGCUAAAAUGAGAGAGAGAGAGAUUACUUGGGCGUGCCCUUCUUGUCUUGAGAGAGAUUUUGGUUGGGAGGUGCCCCCUUAAAAAAAACUUGGGAGAGAUCUUGAAGCCCUAGGUGGGGUGUGCCACCUAUAGAAAAACUUUGAGAGAGAAAAAAAAAAAAAGGUGUAGAGAUUUUAUGAUGUGGAAGAGCUUCUUUAUAUAGAUUUUUUAUACCUUGGGGUUUGCCUCAAUUCGUAGGGUUAAAUUUUAACUUCGAUCUAAGGAGACUUGUGAGGUGAGAGAUUUGAGACAUCAAUCUCUUUGAUCCACCACUAAUAUUCAAAGAGACAAGCCAGAGCCUUAUCAUCUCUUUCCUAGAUCUAUUCCCAUCAAAAUUUUUAAAUAAAAAAAGUAUAUAUCUUACUUUCUAUUUUAGUAUAUCAAAUUCUUAUUUCUUGAAUGAAGUAAUAUUGAUUCAAAGAUUUACCAAAUAUUUCAAAUAUUCAACUGCUAUAUCCAAAAGAUAAGCCAACAAACAAGGAGAUACCUAUCACCAAAUCAGGGAGAAACAAGUUAGUCUUAGGGUCUGCCACCCUUUGGUGGCCAUAUAACUUUAGAAAAAUAUUUUAUUUUGUAUUUAUAAUUUUUAAAUCUUAUAUUUUAUUUAAAACAUGGAAAAAUUAGUUUAUUUUAAUUUAUAAAUCCAAAUGAUAAAAAUAUAAUAUCAGAAGAUUCACAAAAAUUCAAAUAAACAUUCUAAAAUCAUAUGUCAUAAAAUUGACCCAGCAAUUCCUAUGACCCACAGUCCACUGCACCUUCAACUGCCAACCACGAUCUACCUAGCUUUCUCAAAUUGACCCAGCAGUUCUCAUGACCCACAGUCCACUGUAGAGGCUCAUGAUUGGACUAUCAAAGUCAGCCAAUAGACUAGGGGACGCAAUCCCAAUUUAUGGAUUUCAAGUUCUCCCCUAUAGACAAAAAAAUCAUGGUCAUUCAGACCAUGAUACAACCAUGACCCUAUGGUGCAUAGGGGUAAUCUCUCGCACAUGUACACGCUUCACCCUCAUUGACGAAUCUCAAAACAAUUAUCUCUGUAUAUGUCGUAUGAUGAUAUAACGAUGAAGUUUUAGCGCUAUCUCUAAAGGCUAUUCAUAACACGCAAUAACCGCAUAGUCCCUCGGCUCUCAUCUAGGCAUACUCUGACUUUAUCAAUGGCUAACCCACUAAACCAUUAUCGGUAGAUCUCUAUGCCCAGGUAUCUUGGAUUUUUCUAAACUCAACUGGCCUAGCACGUCGAGCCUAGUCUGAAUAUCGGCAAAUCGCAUUUGCCUAGUAUGGUCUUCAAGAGGAUCACACUCCCACUAAGUUUAUGUUUCACUAUAUAAAAUGUUUAUACAAGCUCUCAUAAGGCCUUUAAAGACCACAUAAACCCAACACUAUCUCAUUUAUGAUGGCAUAAAAGGGCUUUAAAAGUGAUUGUUUUUUAAUGUUACAAUGAGGAGAAACAUGGUCAGAUCUAUCCUAAAAGAUAAUGCCAAAAAAAUGGAUUCAUUUCAUGCUCACUAUUAGCAUGGAUAGAGAUAAGAUGGAAGUAGAUAAGGGACUACAGAAGGUAGACAAAGUCCAUAACUACCCGCAUGGUUCUAUGGUGACGGUCCUCCCACUUUCGUGUUAUUUGGUCGUAUUCUAAUUCUAAAGCCAUAAAGACUACGGAAGAAAUAGGAAGCAAAUCCUUCUUAUAAUAAUAUAUUUUAAUAUAUUGUUCUAUUUCGUCACGUGGGGAUAUAUGAGAAGUCAUAGAAGGGAUGUACCAAAAGUUUAAGCUUGAUAUUAAAAAGAGCAUAAAAACCCUAGAAUUUUGCAUCAGCAGUUUGAGCAUGAGAUCCUUGGAUUCAUGAAGUAGGAAAAAAGCAGCCUCAAGAAGGGAUCUAUAACAUGACAGAACCAAAUAACUUGGAUUUUCGUCACGUUUUUUUAGAGUUUCUUUUUUUUUUUUUUUGUAAGUCAGUGGGAUAUCAGCCCCCUACCAGUUUUUUUUUUUUUUUUUUACAGCUUUCCUUAAUUGGGUGCAAACCACCUCCCCAUUUUUCUUCAUUGUUUAAACCGAAGUUUUUUUUUUUUAGUCCCUCCGAAACAAGGGGAUCCCCCCCUUGUCCCUCAAAUAUUGGAGGCAACUAUAAAGAAGCCAAUCCCAUAAGAUGAGAUCCCCGUUAAAAGUCUUUUGAGUUAUCACUACUUCUACUUUGUCUAAUCUCUAACUUAAAUAUAAAUUUAGACCCUGACACUUUUGGCUUACAUGGAGGAGAAGAUGAACUUAAAACUAGUAGUGCAAGCAAGAUUGGACAAUUUGGAUUUAUUGUUAUUGCAUUCUAUUUUUUUUGGGUAAAUUAGUACGGGAGAAGGCUCCUACAUGUUUUUCAUUAAUAAAAUGAGAUGAAUUACAACACCUUAUUUUACAACCCUUAUAAUAGGGCGAUUGUGCAGUAUCAUGAAGUAAAUAAAGAGAAAGAAAAUUAAGAGGCCUAGAACGCCAAAAUAGUUGCAUCUAAAAAAGUUACAGCUUUUUUAGCAACUACAUCAACCACCAUAAUGGCCUCACAAAAGAUAUGACAAUUGAACAAUUCCAUAAUAUUAGAUAGAUACUCAAUGUGCAUUGUUUAUCUCUUUUUUUUUUUAAUGUUAAUUUUCAAGGAUAUUUAUGAACGGGUACUAAAUUAUGUUUUUAUUUUUUUGUGAUGAAUACAUUGAACUUGGCAUGUCUUUCCCAUCAUCCCUGGCGUCAGCUCAUUGUAGUGUUUGUUAGUUGCUUAGUCAUAGUAAAAAAGAAGGAUAUAAAUAAAUAAUAUUCCAUAUGCAUAUUCUUUCUUAUGCUAAGGUGGCCGCCCACUCAGCACUAGGAAACAAGGAAUCAAAUGGCUUGAAAACUACCAAAGCUCAUGAUUCCUCUUCAAAGAAUAAAACAUUGGGGAUGAGGAUGGCUGCCCUUUUAUCAAGCCCAUCCACACUAGCAAGAUGACUACUACAUUGAUAUACAAUAAAAUAUAGGAAAACAUUUAUAUAGGGUGUCAACUUUAUACUAUACAAGUAUGAUACACCUAAAUAACCUACUAGAGAAUGUUAUUUUUAAAGAAAAACCCUCAAAUUGGUCAUCUCGACAUUGAGAUUCAUAGACAUGAAAAAAUGGGAUUUUUAAUUUUAAAAAUAGUUUAUCUUCUAACACAUUAUCUAGACCAUCUAUUUUCAAGAUUUUCAAGUGUUUAUAUAUCUGCUUAUCGACAUCAUUUCUGGAACUUUAAUUUUAUGCUUAGGGAAAAACAAUAGAUUUUCAUAUCAUUGUAAGGCUUUGAGGCACCGAAAUUGCAUUUUCGGCAUAGUUUUGACGUAUACCUUACUUUAAUAGUAUAAGACUGACAUUUUAUAGAAACUUCUUCUUAAAAUAAGUUAAAAUAAAAGAAAAGGAGAGAAAUAAUGAGGAGAAUGUUAAAUGCAAGGAGAGAAAUUGACCGACGCAUCUCACUUUUAACUUAGACCACCUGCUUCAUGACACGUGUCUCAUGUUAUUGUAUUGUGGUACACGCUUGCCAGCAAACAUCGUUCGCAGAGGGAGAUGGUGGACCUCUAUAUUUGAUUUUUUUUUAGCAUAACAAUCCGGAUUAAUACAAAACCUCUGUAUUUGAUUCUCUUUCAGCAUAAAAAUGCGGAUUAGAACAAAUUCAUUUGUUUUUUGUCUUGAAAAAUAUGAGCUUUAUAUACUUCUCCUAAUGUAUAAAAUUUAUCUACUUCGCUCUAUCCAACCGUUCAAUCUAAAAGGACAGUUGAGAUGACCUCAAUUACAAUGCCACACCUCUACAUUAUUUUAUGGUUUUUUUUUUAUUAUAAACGAUUUUGACACCAAACUUUGGGCAUCCACUUCUCUCGUAAAGUCCAACCUGUAAAAAAUAUAAAACAAAUAUUCUUAAUAAAAUUAAAAUGACUAAAAUGUCUAAAAGUUUUAUGGGUAUUUUGGUUAAUUUAUUUUAUAAAAAAUAUAUAUUUUUAAUAUUUUUAAGGUAUGCCUCAUUGAGAUGAUGGCAUGUACCAAUUUUCAUAUUCAUAUAAUUUGUAGAAAAAUAUUAAAAAUAAAAUACUCUGAAGCGUUGGAUCUAGAUCAUACAAUCUUGGCUCACUUAAUCAAAAUUGGACAGUUGGAUGGGUGGAAAAGUAUACGUUUUCCAACAACUGGAGAAGUAUAGAAACAUUUCCCUUAUGCAAAAAUACAGUUAUCAAAAGCAAAUUGGCGAUACACAAAAGCAAAUGUUUUUCAUGUGCAUGUAUAGCGGCAUUUUGCUUGGUAAUGUGAAUGGGCAGAAAGUGCUUUUAGACCCAUGCCGACCACGAGGUUCAAAUUUUCAGUAAGAGGUACAUUUUUGCUUUCUUCUUUUUGAGUGCUCACUAAGAUGCCCUUACUUUAUAACCAUUCCAUAAAUGAUUCGAUUAUUUCUAGGAUACCAGAAAUCAUGAACAUUUUGGUAAAUUAUUUGAAAGCGAUUAAUUGAGAUUUUAGGGCAUAUCUUGUUAUUUCACACCAUAGAACCUUUGAAUGAAUCAUCACAUAAUUGAAUACAUAAUAUUUCAAAAUUUGAAAGGUAAAGACCUCCACUUAUAUUUAACUCAUAAUUUUAUAUAUUGAAAAAUAUUUUUGAUUGUAUGAGUGGGGGCAAUGUUUUAAACUCGGAUGGAUGGAUCGUUCACCCAUGAAUCUGUGUCGGAUCGCUGGAUAAGUGAUCCAAAAUAUAUUAAAACAUAAAUAAAAUAAAAGAAUCAUAAAACUAAGGGUUUAUGGUGUGGGGAUUAAAAGGGAUCUAACUAAAACAAUAGAUAAGCUAAAAAAAAGUGGGGAAAAAAAAAAAAGAAUUAUAAGAGGGGAAGUUCUAGGGAAACCGUAUAUCAUGUUAGAAUCGUUUCGGUCCUAACCGAUUCCCAUCUAAAUCGAUGAUCCAGAUUGAAAAUCAUCAGGUUUUAAAAGAAAGAAUGGCUUGAAGUGACAUGAAAACAAUUUUUACAUAUCAAUUGCGACCUAACAAACAAAGUGUGCACCAACUUCUGAUAUUGUUCUCAAAUUAAUCUCAAUGUUUCCAUCAAGAUUAAAAAGCAUUCCAACAAUGUUAUCAUGUAAGCUGACAAAUACUAUUGAUUACAACUUGUGACAUUGUUAUCAGUUCACUUCCACCUAUCCAACUAAAAUCAAGCGACCACCUGAAUAGCGACACUACAUAAGAGAUGUUAACAUCCCACCAACUUUGGUAUUGAUUAGGCAAAUAAAUGGCUGUCACUUUGAAUCUAAGGCAGCUAGCCCUAUAUAUGUAAUACUUAAAAUGGAGAUAACCAAAGUAAUGCAUUCUUACCACGUAAAAGUGGGUGUCACAUUUGGAAAAGAAUUACCUCUCAACCAAUAUUGGACUGCCACGUGGCCAAUGGUCCUGGCAAUGCAUGCCCAGGUCAUCUUAAAACCCUCCACGUUUGAUGCUUUUCCAUUUUGAAUCUUAUUGAGAUGAAAAGUGGGUCAAAUUGAAUUUAGGCAAGAACUUAGGUAUGGUAUGGUAUGGCAUAGACUUAUUCAAAAGUUUCCCAUAUGUUACUACGUGGCCUUUUUGUUUAUGUUUUAUUGUAGGGUGAGGUUUUGGAUAAGGUGUCGAUAUCAUACUGUACAAGUAUCGUGUACCUCUCAAUUUUAUCUAAAGCUAGUCGUUCAGUGUCAAAACCUUGUAAUGGGAUUAUAAAUCUAUGUUCAACCCCAUUAUGAAAUUUAAAAAUUAAAAAAUGUAUGCCUAACAGAUGUAUAAACACUUUAAAAUCUUGAAAGUAGAAGGUCUAGAUAAUUUGUUACAAAAUGCACUAUUUUUAGGACGAAGAUUUUUUUUUAUAUAUCCAUAUCAAUUGAAAGAUCUUCCAACUUUAGAGCACUAUUGUCGAUUGAAUUUUUGAGAUGCACGUUAUUUCUAUGGUAUAAAGUUGCAAUUUUAUAUAAACUUUUUUUUCUGUUCGAUUUUGCCGCUGUGUUUUAUUCAAAGAAAAUAGUUUGAUAGGGCUGCAACCCUAUCAAAAUAACUAAAGCCUUGCCUUAUAACUCAUAGAAAAUUGCAAUCCAACAGUUGGAAAAUCUUUAAGUUGAUCAUCUCCGACUAUUAUAGUUGCGAAAAAACAAUAAGGUUUCAAGCUCUAAAAAUAGCAUAUAUUAUGAUAAAUUAUCUAGACUAUCCCUUCCACCCUAAAAAUAAGUGUUUGUAGAUCCAUCAAUUCUAUACUAUUUUUUGGGUUUUAAAUUUUAUUGUCAGGGUCAGAAAUUGGUCUUUCUCAAGCGACCCAUACUUUUGUGGAACGACUAAGUUACAUGGUCAAAAAAACAAAAAAAGAAGAAGAGGAAGGGUAAUUUCUUGCCUAUUAUUUUUUAGAUCUUUUAUCUAUCAUUAAGUAUUAUUUUAUAGUGAUAAAAAACAAAAAUACUCCUUUCACUGGAAUCAUCCAUACCUCGAGGAUAAGGAUGCAUCUUAGCAACUAAUCAUGCUUAACCACAACUUCAUGGCUCUCUACAAAUAAUUUGUUCCUUUUCACAUGUUUUAGUUUUAAUUUGUUCCUUUUCACAUGUUCUAGUUUUGGAAAAGGAAGAUUAUUUUACCCGGGCUGCACCUCAUGACUAUAUAUGCGGUCUAAAAAACAUAAAGCAUCCAUCUUAAAGAUGGAUACAUACAGGUAGGUGUUUUAUACAAAAACAAUAGUAAUUAACAGUCAAAAUGUUUUUUUUACUAAAAUCAUUAUUUUUAAUUUUUACAAUUCAUUUUUUUUUUAUAUCCAUGAUCUCCAUGUUAGAGAUUACAUGUUUUUAAAAAUUAAAUAAAAAAAUCUAUCUUAAAAAUAUAUUUAUUAAUAAGUCCAUAUUUUUACAUAUGCAUGUUUGGUCGUAUUAAAACUGGGUCUUUUGAAAAAUAGUUUGAUAGGGCUGUAGCUCUAUUCAUAUCAUCAUGGAUAUUUUUGUUGCCAAAAAUACUUUUAGGAUGAGGAUUUGAGAUAAGGCUCUGUAUGGUUUUUCUAAAGCCCAAAAUUUUAUUUAUUUAUUGAUUUCGAAAAAGAAAAAGAAAAAGAAAAAAAGAAAAAGACAAAAGGCUGGGCUUUGAGGAAACUUCAUCGUUUAGUUUUUGUGUGAAAGCUGGAGUACCACGUAAACCCCAACGUGGUUAAAAGGAGUAGACUUGAAAAUCGCUUUAUCAAACAGCCUCUGUUUUUUUUAUUGAUUACCCACGUGUCAUGUGCUUAGGAUCGAUCCAUCGUCUCUUUUCUCUCUCUACACUGAGCAUCAUCCAUUUCCUCUCUCUCCACUGGCAAUGAGCAUGGCCCAUUUGAAAGAGAAGCCUCCUUUUUUGUUCUUUUCAGUGUUGAAAGAGUGGCCUCAUUCCUUUCUUCUAAUAAAUGCAUCUCACACUUGUUUUUCUUUGAAAUUCAUUGCUUUUUUUUUUGUUAAUCUCUAAUGAGUGAUGACAAAACUCCUGCCUAUAAAUUGGCAUGAGAGCCCCCCUCUCAAACAUUUCAAACUCCUCCUCUCCUAGUCAACAACCCCAAAAAUCUCUCUCUCUCUCUCUUAAAAUCCCACCUUCCAGUUUCUUCUCUCUCUCUUUAAAAAUCCCCCCUUCCAGUUUGCUUCUCUCUCUCUCUCUCUGUAAAUCCCCCCAUAUUUGUAAGAGUAAAUGGUUGUAUAAACCAUGGCAAAAAACCUACCUCCAGGCUUUAGAUUUCAUCCUACUGAUGAAGAACUCAUCCUUCACUAUCUUAGGAAUAGAGCUGCAUCCAACCCAUGUCCUGUAUCCAUCAUUGCGGAAGUUGAUAUCUACAAGUUCGAUCCAUGGGAUCUCCCUGGUUAGUCUGCUCUAACAAAACUAAGAACCCAACCCCCUUUGUGCAUGUAUGCAUACACUUGGGUUGAUCGUCUCAUUCAUGUUAAUAUGCUUUCUCUUUAUCUCUUGAUCCUUAGUUUACAAAUACUUAACAAAGGGUUGCAAGGACUCCAAUUGGGACUCGCUAGGACCCGAUUCCGAGCCGCCUGACUCGACUCAGAGACUUGGCUGGUUCCCAAGUUUUUUUCUUCCGAAUUUGGCGGCAUGCCGAGUCCAAGUAGUUCCUGCAACCCGAAGGUUUUGAAACACUGAUUAAACUAAUUUGGUGUUGGUGUUUUGUAUGUUGGUUCAGCAAAAGCAGCAUUUGGGGAGAGAGAGUGGUAUUUCUUCAGCCCAAGGGAUAGGAAGUACCCAAAUGGAGAGAGGCCCAACAGGGCUGCAGCUUCUGGGUAUUGGAAGGCAACCGGCACUGAUAAACCCAUUGUUCGGAGCAGCAGCAAUAACAAUAACAACCACAACAACGAGGGUAAGGCAAUAAUAGGGGUGAAGAAGGCUUUGGUCUUUUACAAGGGGCGCCCUCCGAAGGGCAUUAAGACCAACUGGAUCAUGCAUGAGUACAGGCUCAAUGACCCCAAAUCAAGGCCUUCAAUCCUCAAACUCAAAGGCUCCAUGAGGGUGAGUGGCCACAGCUCCUUGCUUCCUAUCUUUAAUUUUAAUUCGGGGAAAGUAUAUAAUGAGACUAUUUAUUUUUGGUGCAAGUGAGUCACAAUUAAUCUUUUAUCAUUGAAUGUGAAAUUUGGUGGCUACAUUAAUAUCAAAGUUCGAAAGAAACUUUUUCGAAUUUACACAAGAGGAUGGUAGAAUAUCAAAGUUCAAAAGAAACUUUUUCGAACUUACCGGAGAGGAAGGUAGAGUAAUAGUCUCCACCCACCAAAAAUAAAUGGCCACCCACCAAAGAUAAAUGGUCUCAUCGUAUUAAUUCUUUUUAAUUUUACUUUUUUUAUCAAUUUCACCCGUAUACUUAGGGAUCAAAGAAAGUGACACCAAUAAGCGUCUCAAAUUUUUUAAAGGAAAGUAUACAAUGAAGCUAUUUAUUUUUUGUACAAGGCGGUCACAAUUAAUUUUGAUCUUUAGAUGUGAAAUUGAUAGCUGCAUUUAUUCUAUUGACUAAAUUCAAAGUUAAAAAAAAAUCAAUUAUUGUAACAAAUUCAAGCCAUCAGAUAUCAAUGGAGGUUUAUAAGUAAUUGUAACCUUCAUGUCUAAAAGAUAAAUGGUUUUAAACAAACCCAAUUUUAAAUUGGCACAACUAAAAUACCAUUUUAAGAGGUUCAGGGCUGUAAACGGAUCGAGUUUCUAUUAGGUUGGGUCAAUGGGUCUAUAGGGAAGGAUAUUAUAAGAAAAUAUUGUAUGUAAUUAAUACUAAUAUAUGCAGGGUUGGGUCGAGUUGAACUCGACUUGGACUUGGUAUGUCCACAUGUAAGGUCCAUGGGCAUAUACCCUAGUGUUAUUCUAUUAGCCUUCGGAAUUGUGGGUGGUUUCCUAUAGCCCCUGGUUUAAGGCUACCGAAUAAGAUUGCUUACUAAACGCUUGUUAAUAUCAUCAUCAUCUCUCUCUAACUUAGAUAUUCCUCUAUUAGGUGAUCGGGUCCUAGUUAGCUCAACCUGAGCCUCGAUCUCCAGUUUGGUGAUUGGGUCCAGUCCAUAGGACCGGACCUGCUAGGGUUGGGGCCAAACCCCACCCACUAGGUUAGGGGAAAACCCGGACCCAAAAUUUGGUGGACCACCAGAUCCACCAAACACACUUAGAACUCGGUGAUGUCAAGGUUGGGUUAGACUAGACUCUAAUAUGUGCCCAUCCCAAGGUUGGGUCAGACUAGACUCUAAUAUGUGCCCAUCCCAAAUGAGUCUAGUUGAACCCCAACCAAAUCGGGUCCAUAUCCAUUAGACCCAUAACCCAUCGGGUUUAGCAAUCCUAUUCUCUAAGUCUCAGGAAAGGGGCUGAAGUAAUGCUGGUAGCAUUCUUACACCCUAGUCACCACGAUGUAGUUUUUAUUCCCUCACAUAAUUACUAAAAAAAAACCGACUCCUAAACUAUUUGUGCAUAUCUUCCCUCACAUAAUUAUUAAAAAAACAAAAAACUAAGUCUCAUUAUGAGGAGCAAAAAUUUCAGUUUCUAUAAUUCCUGUGGUCUUGUCCAAUCGUGAGAUAUUAGUUAUGUACAGGUGAGAUAAUAGAUGCUUAGUGGGCAUCAAAUCCUUCAAGUGUCUAUUAGGAUUAAGAUGUUUUCUUACUUUUCGUAAAAAAUGCAAAUCAUCUAGGAUUGUUGGGAUGAGAAGUGUGGCUACUUUUGGAAAAUGUAGGAAGAGAUGUUUUAUUCUCUCCUUACUCGAAGCUGAAUAUUUUAUACCCAUGCAGGAGUAAAUUGUUCAUUUACUCCAUUGGGUAAAGGCAAUCUAUGAUUAACUUUAGCACCCUAAAUUAUUUUGGGGAUGUAACCUUUUCAAGCCAAAAACUAAUAUUAAUACAAAAAAAGGAAAAAACCCUUAUGGUACCCUCUAUGCAUUAAGAAAAUGAUGUCUUAAGAUUAAACAAGGACUUUCUAAUUUUUUCAGAGGGUGAUAUCCAAGUCUUCGAAAAUUCAAUUUUUUUCUCAUUUGAAAAUAAUCAUCCGGUAAUUUUUAAAUAAAUCCCAAAAUUUCAAAUUGAAAAAAAAAAAAAACUCCCAGCAAGCCUUUUGAUCGAUGGAGUAGAUCUAUAUUAUGCUCCCGUGGGAGCAUAGUAUUAGGUUAUAGGAUGGGAUGUGGGUCCCAAAGUACAAAAUAUGAUACUCCACGCAACACGUGUGUCCAUGAUUUUGGUAUGUGUCUUCCACGUGUGCACACUCGGAAACGGAGGCCAAUAUUUUUGUUGUUGAAUGGUAAUAGGGAAGCAUGUCAGAUGCUGAUCAAUUUUGGUAUCUAUCACUAAUAUAUGUGGCAUAAUAUGCUCCCACCUAUAUCUAUGUCUUCAUGGCAUGUGCUAAAUUCAUAGGAAAUGAAUAAAAUAAAACAAUUAUUUUUUUAUACAAGAUGUCACAGUCAUCAUUGACUGUUAGAUUUUAAAUCGGGUGGUUGAGUAUGUGUUAUUGUUCAAGAACAAAGUCCAAAAGAAAAUUUUUUGAUUGUUGUGAGACAUUUUUAUCUAUUAAAUUUCACAUCUAAUGGCUAAAAGUAAUUGUGACAUCUUUGUACUAAAAAUAAUUGUGACCUCUUUCACAUCCAAUUAUCUAUUAGAUUUCACAGCCCAGGUCUGGCCUAUUGCCACCCUUACACACCACACAAGCCUUAUGUUCCAAAUAUUUCUCUUACAUAAGGGAAAACCUCUUAUGUGUUUUAGGCACACAUAAUUUAUAUAUGUCUAGAGAUUCAAAGCUGUCUCAGCUUGAUCGAAUGGUGGGUAAUGAGCCAAAAACAUUGUCACAUGCCAAUACUCAUGUUUUUGUCAUGCUAAUGGAUAGUAUUAUUGUUGGGUCACUCUGAACGAUUCAAUCAAGAUCGAACAGUUGGAUGUCUCGAGACACACAAAAUAUAUCUAAUUUGAGACACGUUGAAAACUGUGCUUAUUAUAUAGUACUAACUGAUACUAUGUAUUCCAGUUGGAUGAAUGGGUGUUGUGCCGCAUCUACAAGAAGAGCUAUCAAAUGCAAGAAAAGAACAUGAUAGAGCCUGAACAUCAAGAAGAGGAACCAACCCUUGAAGAUGUGUUGUCUUCCUUACCAAGCAUCACCAGCCAGCCCUCGCUGAAGAUCCCUAGAUCAGCUUCUUUCACUCAAUUCUUGGAGACAGUAGACCAAUCAAUGCUUUCGCGUCUCAUAUUCGGGACCACCAAUGAUUCUUCCGAAGAAUCCGAGCCUACAAACCCCAUUAACAAUAGCAAAAAUCACCACCACAGCAACAUUGACAUCAGCAACAGCAACAACAAAUACCAAUCUCCACUAGAAACAUCAUCUCUAGCAACUGCUCCGCAACCAGAGAUCGAGCAAAAAAGACCUUAUUCCAUGAUGGCUAACGGCCCAAAUGAUGGUUUUCUCCCUUCAAAGAGACCUAACCUUUCCAUGAACAAUACUAACUUCAAAGAACACCUUCUGGUUCCUCAGUACCAAUUCCAUAGCUCUGGAGCACCAUACCAGCUGAGCCAACAAACAUUUUUCAAUAACCACAUACUGCUCAAUCCUCUACUCGAGUUUCAAUAAGAGCAAAUGUGCAUAUUCUACAAAAUAAAACAAGGAAUUUCUCAAUGCCGUCCUAUUUAGGUCGGCAGUUGUGAAGCUGAAAAAUUAGAGCUCUUCCAAGGGGUCAUCCAUUCAAGUACCAUUCACUUACAUGAGCACUUAUUCUCAAUUAUGAUGGUGCUGGUCUACCUGCUGUUCAUCAGCUACACAUUAGUGUAGAAGAGUAUUGGUACAUGGAUAGAUAUGAUCUAUGCACCACCGGACGCCGGGAUGAUGGUGGAACAUCAGAUGUCGAAUCCAUGUGUUUGGGCCUCAUGGUGGAUUUUUGAGAUUAUAUAGUCAUGAGACAUGUACCAAUAUGUUUUAAUAUGUUAUGGUUGCCGUGUUGUGCAGUGAGGAAUGAAGGUUAAUGUGUAUUUUGGCCAGGGUGGAUUUAGGUUGAAUGCCAUUGCACAAAUCGCAAUGGUGUUUUAUAAACGUAGAAAACUCUUAGGGGCUGCUUUUGCUACUUCCGGGUAUUGCUCGAAGGGGUAGAUCCGAUACUGAAGAGCAGCUCUGUAUAUUUGUAUUUUGUUUAGUUAGGACUUCAUGGGAUUGGAAUUUGUAACUCUAUUCAUUCGAUCCAAGAUUGAAUUUAAUUUCGCAUUUCUUUUUCACCAUUCAUUCGCCCUUCUCUUUGUUAGCAUUACAUAUGUAUCAUGUAUUUCAAUACACAUCAUUAUGGAUAUGUAGUUGGUAUCUAUCCAUAACUGUUAUUAAGAUGUAUGUUUAUUCGGGUUUUGUACAUUCUUAAUCUAUUCAUUGAAUAGAGAGAAAAAUAUUUUCUCGUAUGGUAUCAGAGCUGUUCUUUGCAAUCUGCUCGAUCUCUGAUCAGGCCCUUCAUCCGCCUGUUGCGGUGUUGUUGCCGAAGGUCCCCGAACUUGUAAGGCUUGUAAGGCUUGUUCAGCCUAAUUACAGCUUAUCAAAGGCAUGAAAAAGCCUGUCACUCGCUGUGAAUUCUGCUGCCUAACCCCUGCAGCCUCUCUUUCUCUAAAAGUCUGCUCUGCUGCAUUCGUGUCCCAUUCCACACUCCAAAGCAUUGACCCUUUUUAAGUUUUCAUAUCCCUCAAAGCAUUGACCCAAAAGCUACUAUGCUGAGAGCACCUCUCCUCUCUCCUCUCCACUGAUCCCUUCUCUCUCCUUUGCAUCAUCCCAAGCCCCAUUGUUACGAACCUUCUUUGAAAUCCCUAAAAUCUGAUUCGCAAUUGCCCCUCUAAACUCUGGCAUUUGCUGAUCUGCUGCCUCUACGAUUUGUGCCUGAGAAACACGCCGCCAUGUGCAUCAUGUUUUCCCACCAUUCUUCUGUAAUUCUCUUUGGCUUUCUCUAUAUUUGUUUCUCUCACUAAAGUGAGGUUUCCUCUGUAAAUUUGUUUUCUCUCUGAAUACUUGUUUCCUGUUUCUCUCACUAAAGUGAGGUUUCCUCUGUAAAUUUGUUUUCUCUCUGAAUACUUGUUUCCUCUGUAAAGUGAAAACGAGUACGCGAACGUGAAAUUGGCAGAUAUAUAUACAGACACAUUGGGAAACUUAUAUAUAUGUCAAUUUCAUGUUCUGAUAUUGCUUAUGCAGUAUAUGUGGUUAGUCAAUUUUUUAGUGUCUCAUGUUCUGCCCAUAUCGUUGCCGUUUUGCGCAUCAUUCGUUAUAUCAUGGAUUCUCGUCACUAAGCCUUAUUUUUCUCCUCUUCUACAUCACUUGAGCUCCGAGCCCAUACAGACUCUGAUUUUGCAAAAAAUUCGAGUAAUAAAAAAUCUACUACAGGAUUCUACAAUUUUCAUAGUGAUUCUUUGGUCUCUUGGAAAAGCAAGAAACAAAAAUAUAUUGUUCAAUCAACUACGGAAGCUGAAUACCGAGCUAUGGCACAAACUGCCACCGAGAUUGUUUGGUUAUGUUGGCUGCUCGAAGACAUGGGUGUCACUCUCUCAACUUCUACUCCACUUUAUUGUGACAACAAGAGUGCCAUCUAUAUUUCUAAAAAUCCAGAGUUUCAUAAGUGGAAACAUAUUGAAGUUGAUUACCACUAUAUUCGACAAGAAUAUCUCACGGGCACAAUUUUCUUACCAUAUGUGGCCACCGCUGCUCAACUCGCCGACUUCUUCACUAAGUCUCAUCCCCCACAUCCUUUCUCACAAUUUGUUUCCAAACUCUCAUUGAUUCCUUUCAAAAUAUCUUGAGUUUGAGGGGAAGUGUUAGCAUAUACAUAUGAAUCGUAUAUAUCAAUACACAUCAUUAUGGAUAUGUACGGGUAUAGGUGUCCAUAACUGUUAUUAAGCCGUAUAUUUAUAUGGGUCUUGUACAUUCUUAAUCUAUUCAUUGAGAUCUUCUCUCACACUCUUCUUAAUGUGUAGUUUCUGUGGGUCCUUUUUGUUGGUGCUGAUAGCCAUGAAGAGUAAAGAAUUUCAACAUUUGGAAACAGUGUCCGGUUCCCCUGGUCCGAGUCAGAUGACUCCCGAGUCUGUUUAACAAUUUUUUUAAAAGAAUAACCUAGGUAAUAGGGGCUCGUUUAAAAGAAAAAGAAAAAAAUAGAAAUGACCUUCAUCUUGUCUAAUGCUCAUCAAAAUACUCAGAAAGGACUUGUAUGAGCACAGGACUUAUAUGAGCUAAUUGUUAAAAACUUUGGUAACAAAUAUCAAGUAUGUUUAAGGGCGUAUGUUAUCAUAUUUUUAGAAUUCAGAACCCUCUAAGGUGAUUUGAUGUCCUUGCUAGGGUUUUUCGAAACGGAAAUUCAUCCAUAACUCCCUGUAAAAGGUUUUUAUUUUAUUAUUAUUAUUAUUAUUAUUAUUAUUUAAUAACCUAGUAAAUAAAUGUAGCAUCAACUUGAUAUUCUUUCUCAAUUGUGGAAAAUUUGCUUCUCUUAAAUAUUAAGCGACAAGAGAAAGCAUUUGUUAUAACUACUAAAUGACAAUGGCGGUUAGAAGAUAGUUGAACUGGUGAUGUAAUAAUAAUAAAUGUACAUGGGUUCCUGUUGUAGCUCACGACUUUUUUUAAUUCUUUUGGAAAUUUAUUUAAGUACCGCAAGAGAUAAACUACACCCUUUAAUAUUUUACCCAUUUGUAGUUAAACAAAUCAUGAUCAUGUAUCUUUCAACUGGUAUUUUGAAACCAAAUCAAAAGACAUGAGUAAGAUGUUAAAUAGCUUGCCUCUAAUUUUUUUUAGGCUUCUUUUGCUUAAGGGAGCUAGUUCUUACAUCCCAUUCAUAGGCUCUAGACCUGAGGCUAUAAUGGGUUUGGUUGGUCACGCGGGUUGGGUGGUCUGGACCCAACCUGACUAGGUCUAAGAAAAACCUGGGCCCAACCCAGACUUUGGUUGAGUCACAAUACCAGGUGGGUUCUGGGUAUGGGACUAAAAAAUAUAUAAAUUAAUAUAUAUAUUUUAACAGAUAUUGUUAAUAUAAAAUUUACAUGUAUCGUAUAUACUAGGUUGGGUCGAUAGGGGUAACCCUAAAUUGACCCGCUAGGGCCCAAGCUAGACCUAUACUGGAAUCAGGAAGGGUUAAAUCCAGGCCCAACUAGUUGGGCCCAUUAUCUGUUUGAAGUCCUAGUUGACCCGACGUAUUCCCACCCUUGCUUAAACUCAUUACUCUGAAUGGUUUGAAUAAAAUUUUGAGCACAAAAAUAAGCUACUUUGAUUUGGGCCAGCUUUAGACUCAUAAACCCUUUUAUAUAGUCCUUUAAACCGAGUUUGGAGUGUUGUAAGCACGAUUUGAACCUAUCUCAAGCCUGAGAAAACGAGGUGAGUUGCGUUAGGUAGGCAGCCAACAUAAAACUUUGUCACAUCUUAUCAUGAAUUUUAAACCUAUAGAUCUUACUGAGGGUAUGUCCCUUGAUAAAAAAAAAUGAAGGAACAUGAUUCAUGUAGCUGACCCCAAAUAAUUGGGAUAAAGCUUGAUUGAUGAUGAUGAUUUGGAGAAAAUGAACAAUGUGGUCCUAGGGGAUCACAUACCUUUCCCAAGUUCUAUCUCCAUUACUAUUCCAUAUAUCAUCACUCACUACCAUGUAAUGUUUGGCUUUGCAAUGCGUUUGCAUUUUAUGUAGGGUGCUACUUUUGGCUCAUGGGAUGGUAUAGGGUUCAAAUGAAGUCAAGUGGUGCAUAUCCACCUUCUCAUUUAUUGUGCGUUGUAUUUAAUUUUAAUAUUUCUUACGCAUUGGAUUCAGGACAUGGUUUUUAUGAAGGGUGCAGUUGGGAUACGGAUGCAUCCGUAGGUGUAGUGGUAAGGUGCACCUUCAAAUUUUAUCAUGGUAUAUAAUUUUGAUGUAAAAUGUUCUUAGGAUUAUCUCAAAAUCUGUUUUAUAUCUAAUUAUAAAAUUUUAAAUUUAAAAAACGGUUAAAAUCAAGUAAAUCAAUAAACAUAUGAAAAUCUUGAAAAUGGACGGCAUAGAUAAUAUGUUGUAAAAUGCUCUAUUUUUUAGAUUUAAAAUCUUUUUAUUUUUCAUAGUCAUACAUCUCGAUGUCGAGAUGAUCAAUCAGACGGUUUUUCAACAUUAAAACUAUCUUUUCCAAUGGAUUUUUGAGAGGCAUCCGUAGUUCUACAUUAUAAGGUUACAUCGUUCUAUACACUUUUUCCUUUUAUGAAUCCAUGUAGAAAUGGAUUACUUCUCAAAAAUCUACCUUUAAAUAUGGAGAUAUUCAUGAUAAAUAAAUAAAUUUUAAAAAUUACAAAAAUGAUUCUAUUAAGAAAAUAUUUGGAUAGUUAGUUUCAAUUAUUUUUAGAUGGACCACCUAUUUGCAUCCAUCUUUAAAAUAGAUGACUUAUACCUCGGGGACUGCAAAUGAAGAAAUGUGGUCACCGCAUGAAACAAUUUUCCUUGGAUGUAUAUGAAAUCUUACCAAUGUACUCGUCACAUCUGAAUGUUCUAGGGUACUUUAGUUGAUUUAUUUUUAAAAAUUAAUUUUCAUAUAAUUUCUGGUGCAUUUGAUUGAAAAAUGUGCAUGUCUAAAAUUUCAAAUCAAUCUAACUAUUUUUUAAACAAAUUAAAAACAUAUGUGAUUGUGGCUGUUCACUUUAUUGUAAUACGAACCGUUGAGAGGUGCUUCCGAGCCGAUCAGAUGAUGUGGACGCCUUAAAUUUUCUUUCUACUUUGGACCAAAAUUGCAAUUUUUUCAGCCGUCAAACAUACAAGAAAGGGGCAUCCCUUGAUGCGUUGUUCGUUUGUGAUGAUGUAAAUUCUAUAUUGUAAUCCUAUUUUUCUUCUAACAAAGUUUCAAAUACUGUCAAAAAAAAAAAUAAAAAAAAAUGGGGAAAGUGAUUUCACCAGGGUUUCAAGUUUGGACCAAGAAUCCCAAAAUGAUGGGUCAGGUUAGGGUAAUGAAAUUCUGGGAACUAAGACCGAAUCAAGUUUGGGUUGUGACCGGACCUUAACAAAUUUCCCAACCAAGAAUUGAGUCCUGAUUCUACAUAAAAACCCAAGUCAACUUGGCAAUACAUUUGGCUAGGCCGGCUUGGAUUGGGAUUCACCUAAGUCUACCAGGAUUUCAAUCUAAUCAUUACAAUGCGGCAAUGCUUUGUGCGCCAAACCUUCUUUUUUUUGUAUUUUUAAAGGUGAAUCAGUGAGAAUAUCCCGUUCUAUUAAAUAUUCAAAAGUGAUUUUACAUUUUAUACAACCCUUGACAAGGAUCAUUAGCAACAUCAUAUAAAAUGAAAUGGUGCGCCAACACUUAAAUGGUGGUUGGAUGUAGAAUCCACAAAUACCCACGACCUCAUUAUGGGUAUCCACAUCACGUAAUGUGCAAGGGAGCGGCAUUCACACAAGUCCUUAUCCAAUAAGUGUCUUUCAUAUGAAUAGAUUGAUCUCAUGAAUAGUAUACGCCCUGCGGUUUAGAUUCAAUCUGAGCACAUUGGCCUGCACAUAUGAGCACUUUUUUAUUUCUAACCUUUUUUAUUCUCGACACCUGAUUUUUGGUAAGAUACGAACCUUAGAUCACCUGGAAAUCUCUACCAAACCACAAUACAUACUAUGAUCCCUAGGGCCACCAUAAAAGAACUUAAAAAGUCUGAAUCUUUAUAGAGAGGUGUGCAAAACAUGGGUGCACAUGAAAUACAAUAUAAUUUCCAAUACAGAAAGUCUGAAUUUUUAUAGAGAGGUGCCCAACGUAGUGAAAUCCAUAUUAUUGGACAUGGUUCCAAUGAGUCCAUAUAGAAAUGAGUGCACUCGUAAAAAUCUAUUUUUGAGAUGGAUUUUUUUGACCCAAUUGUUAAGGACAUAUAAUCUCUAACAUGGAUAUCAUUAAUAUGAAAAAAUAAAUAAAUUUUAAAAUUUUAAAAUAAUAAUUUUAUAAAAAAAACGUUUGGAAUGUUAGUUUUAACUGUUUUUAGAUGGACCACCUAUUUGCAUCCAUCUUUAAAGUGAAUGUUUAUAUCUCGAUGAAUGCAAAUAUAGAAAUGCAUCCUUGAACUCAAGAAACAAUUUUCUUUAAAGCAUAGGCUACCGGCCUACAAAAUUCUGAUCCAUCUUGUAAACUAUGAAUCGAAACCAACGUCGAGCAUGAAUUUUGAAAGUAAGAUACUUUUUGUACUCUGUCUGAUUUGGGAGAAUAUCUAUUUUGAACAGAUAUUAGCAAUUGAUGUAUUUCUUUCGGUCGUUUUUGGUUCUUUGGAAAUGAGUAUCCCAAGAGAUGUCUCUCUUAGAAUUAGCCAUUAUUAUCGUCAUCAUCAAAGCAUUUUCUCAAUUAUUUGGAGUCCACUAGAUUUGGUAUCUCCCAUAAUUGAUAUUUCUUGCAAUACAAUUGUCUGCUGUUUGGAUAGCAUCUAGUAAGAGACCUAAAAGAUGCAUGUCUACUAUUUGGAUUGCUUGAAAGAUCUCUAUUGAAAAAUUAUAUGAUAUAAUAUAGUAAUAUUAUACAAUAUAAUAUUAGCUAUUAUAAUAUAUAAAUUACUUAUAUAUUAUCUAUUAUAAUAUAAUAUCUAUAGUAUUAAAAUUUUAUAUAAUAUUAGAUAGAUUAUUAUAUAUUAUAUAAAAUAUAUAUUAUAUUAUAAUAUUACUCUUAUAAUAUAUAAAUUAAUUAUAUAUAACAUCUAAUUAAUUAUAGCUAUAAUAUAUUAUAUAAUUAUUAUAAAUUUAUAUAAUUACUAUAAUUAUUAAUAUAUUUUAUAAUAUAUUAAUUAAUAAAAUAUAUUGUAUAGGAUUUAUAUAUUAAUUAUUAUAAUUAUUUCAGCUCUAGGGUUGGAGGUCCUGUUUUUGGGCAAACCUAAACCCACUAUAAAACAUAACUUGCCACAAGUUUUUUGGGCAAUCUUUGGAAAUGUUAAUUCCGCAUAUUUCAGUGGAAUUGACAUUUAUAUAAAGAAAAGAGGCUUAAAAUGGGGAAGUCUGUCUUCAUGUAGAAAUGGCACACGACCUGGGAGGGCAUUCAAUCAACAUUUGCGGGCCGUUUCUAUGAAAAUAGGUAUUUGGAGAUCCAUUUCCAGGGAACUUAAUGGGCCUUAGUUGAAAUUUACUUUCCAUCCUCGCUUUAUGUUGUUAGCUGUGUUAAAAAGGAGGACUCUCCCUUCAAUUGGGUACAUAAGUGAAAAAAAGAAAAAAAUAAAAAAAAUAAAAUUAGAAGAAUUGGGGAAAUUACUAGGUUUCGACAAUAGGAAUUCUUGGAUCUCAGGCUAUCUUGAGCGAUUUUGAGCAUAGUUAUCAAAACUCGACAAAACUAAUAGUCUGAUCGGUCGAAGCAUUGAUUAAUGCUCUGGCUGGUCUAGUCCGAAGUAAAAAAAAUUGAGUUUAAACGAAAAUGGAAAAUUUUUUCAUUAGAUUUUUAUAUUGUUAAACUAUUAUAUCUAAUUUUGUUUUUCCUUUUCACAAAAAUAUGGUGCAAUCAUGUCGACCAGUAGCUAGAUCAAUUUUGACUAGAUCAAAGCCCUCAUCAGUUGUGUAGCCGGUCAAAUCCUAAUAACACUGAUUCUGAGUCUGUUUUAGUUUUUGUUUUAAAUACUUUCUUUUUUUUUCUUUUUUGAAAAAUAGUGAUUCGUUUGGCUUCAAUCGAACGUGCCAAUGACUUUUUGCCUUUGGGUAUAAACCAAACCAAAGCAAAUUCUAGUCAUAUUCCAAAAUGCGGGUAAUAUCUGGGAAAUAUUAGGAAAAUGAGAAUACCAGGAAAGCAACAAUGAUAUUUUGAGAAAGCCGGCGAUGUUUUAGGAAAAAAAUGUAUAAAAGCACUAACUUGUAUAUUUUCUUUGGGAUUGUAUACAAUGAGACUAUUUUGGAUUGUAUACAAUGAGAUUAUCUAUCUUUGUUACAAGGAGGUCAUAGUUACUUCUAGUCAUUAGAUGUCAAAUAUGAUAGCUUGGGAUGUGUCACGAAAUUCAAUAAAUUUUUUUGAACUUUGAGAAGUCAAUGACACACUUUCAACCACCCGAUUUGAAAUCGGAGGACGAAUAAUGAUUUUGACCUCUUUGUACUAAAAAUAAGUAGUCUCCAUCUAUACUUUUCCUAUUUAUUUAUUUUAAGAUGUGGUUUGUAUAAAGUGGCAAUCGUCUUUGUAGAAGUAAAGUUGUCAUGUUCUACAUUAUUUAUUUUAAUUAGAUAAUGUUUAUUUGACAUAUUUUUUAAAAUAAUAUAAAAAAUUAAUACAUACAUCUUUGAGAUAUUGUUAAAUCUACCACCAUCUAAAUUAAAUAGAUGGCGUCGAAUGGUACUACCUUACUUUUAGAGAAUCUAACAAAAGUAUUCUUGCUAUGCCCUAAAUUACUUUACUCAAGCAACUCAAGUCAUCUCUACCCAAUAGUGAAAUUUUAAUGUACUCAAUCAGGCUUAAUUUACUGGAUUUAUAGGGCUUUUAAGGUUAUUUUUUCCUGGAACCUGCACAAGAGAGAGAUGCAUUGGAACUUAAAGAGAGAGAGGAAGAUAAUAUCAACGUUUGAAAAAAAAUAGAUUGGUGAUCCGAAUCCCAAAAAUGGAUCAGAUUGGCGGAUUAUGGAUUCCAGAUCGGAGAAUCAGCCGGGUCAGUAUUAAUUUUUUUAAAAAAAAUACUAAAAUUUCUAAAAAAUCUAUAUUUUUUUUUGUAUUUUUUUUUAAAAAUAGUGGUAUUGUAUUAUAGUUUUUUAAUUAUUUUAUAGAAAAUAUAUAAGUACUGAGAACGUGUCUUAUAUCUAAGUGUUAUUUAACAUUAUAUUUAUUUUAUAAUCAAAAUUAAAUUUAAAAUGUAACUCAUUGCAAUAGAAUGAUUCUCUUUAAAUCAAUUUUAUAAUGAAAAAAAGAAGAAGUGCACAAUAGUUUUGGACCAAUUGAUUUGAUCGAGAGAAAACAAGGAUAUGAUCCUCACAAAUAAAUAAAUCUAAUGUGUAAUAAUUAAUAUGGAUAAAAAUAUAAAAUUUAUAAGCAUAAAUUUACAAUCAUGUUUUAAUAAAAUUAAAAAAUAAAUAAAUGAAUUCAUACUUACAAUGUGAAAUAAUGGAUAAAACAACUUGAGUAUAUUUUGAAGUGGUACGAGCUAGUGUUAUUUCUUUUAAAAUAAAUCCAACAAGCUAGUACUAUUUUUUUUUUCAAAUAUUCAAUAAAGUAGUAUUAAUAUUAUUUUUUAUUUUUUUAAUAUCUUAUGAGCUAAUAUAUAUAUAUAUAUAUAUAUAUAAAUCCGAAAGAGCUAAUAACCAAAUAUUAAUCAUUCACUACCAGUGUUUAAAAAAACGCCGAGUCGAACCGGACUCGCCCGGUUCGACUCGGGAAUCGCCAUGGACGGUUCAAAUCAAUGAAAAAAGCGGGAAUUGUCCGGUUCUAGAGAGAACCGGACGAUUCUGCACAGUGACUCGCCGAUUCACUGUACGGAUUCGGCGAGUCUGUACAGUGAAUCUGCGAGUCCCGUACGGAAGAACAAUUUUUUUUUUUAUUAUUUUUAUUUUUAUUUUUAUUUUUUUAUUUUUUUUAUUUUUUGUAAUCCAUGAUAGAUUUUUUUGUAAUACUUGAUCAAUUGUUUUGUAAUCCAUGAUCGAAUUGUUUUUUUUUUUUUUGUAAUCCAUGAUCGAAUUUUUUGUUUUUAUUNNNNNNNNNNNNNNNNNNNNNNNNNNNNNNNNNNNNNNNNNNNNNNNNNNNNNNNNNNNNNNNNNNNNNNNNNNNNNNNNNNNNNNNNNNNNNNNNNNNNNNNNNNNNNNNNNNNNNNNNNNNNNNNNNNNNNNNNNNNNNNNNNNNNNNNNNNNNNNNNNNNNNNNNNNNNNNNNNNNNNNNNNNNNNNNNNNNNNNNNNNNNNNNNNNNNNNNNNNNNNNNNNNNNNNNNNNNNNNNNNNNNNNNNNNNNNNNNNNNNNNNNNNNNNNNNNNNNNNNNNNNNNNNNNNNNNNNNNNNNNNNNNNNNNNNNNNNNNNNNNNNNNNNNNNNNNNNNNNNNNNNNNNNNNNNNNNNNNNNNNNNNNNNNNNNNNNNNNNNNNNNNNNNNNNNNNNNNNNNNNNNNNNNNNNNNNNNNNNNNNNNNNNNNNNNNNNNNNNNNNNNNNNNNNNNNNNNNNNNNNNNNNNNNNNNNNNNNNNNNNNNNNNNNNNNNNNNNNNNNNNNNNNNNNNNNNNNNNNNNNNNNNNNNNNNNUGAUUGAAUUGUUUUUUCUUUUUUGUAAUCCACGAUGGAAUUUUUUCUUUUUUUAUGUUUUUUUUUUUUUUGUAAUCCAUGAUCGAAUUUUAUGUAAUCCAUGAUCGAAGUUUUUGUAAUCCAUGAUUGAAUUUUUUGAAAAUUUGUGAUUUUUUUUUUUAAUCAAUGAUCGAAUUUUUUUUGUAAUCCAUGAUAGAAUUUUUUGAAAAUUUGUGAAUUUUUUUUUAAAUCCAUGAUUGAUUUUUUUGAAAAUUUGUUAUUUUUUUUUUAAUCCAUAUUAUUCAAAGAGAAAAUGAGAGAGAUGAUGAUUCUGAGGCCACCUUAUCCCAGCCAUAUUAUUUACAUAUCGAGUUCCAACAGCAACAGUGUAGGGAUGAGCACGACAGUGCAGGUGCGCAUGAAGGAUGGACAAGCUUCGGGGAUUUUGGAUUGGGAACACAACAAAACAUUAACACUCAAGGAUUUGUGAAUAGUCAGGCGCCUGCUACUAUCGAUGAUUCGUUUUUAAAUCGAAUCAAUGAAUUGUUAAACGAAUUCAAUCAAUGGCACCAGCGUGACCAAGAAGAACAAUAACGUCAUCUAUCAUUUUAUUUUUAGAUCAUAUGUUACUAAUUUUAUGCUUUAUUGUAGUCCAUGUAUGUUGAUAUAUUCAUUCCAUGAUAAUUCUAUGUUUAUCCUUUUGUGUGAUGUAAAUUAAAUGCUGAAUGACGGUUCAUGCAGGGAAAGAACAUAUCAAUUUUCUCAUAUUCAUUCAAAAACAUGAAAAUUCUUAAUGGAGUAUCCUCAUUUCUUAUUGAAUUCUUAAAAAACAAUAUAUAUAGUGAAUUUUAAUAAUUUUUUCGGAUUUUUUUUAAGCUUUAUUCUGACCGAUUCACCCGAUUCCUGAUCCGAAUCGUCGAUUCGCCGAUCAUAAUCGAUUUUUUAGGUACCCGAUCCGGAUCACCGAUCCAUUUUUUAAACCAUUGUUCACUAUCAUACAAGAGACAAAGAAGAAUUGUCCCACAUUAGAAAAAGGUCGGAGGGAUCCGAUGGGAAAGGGCGCAUAAAGGGCCUUAACGGUUGCAAUUGGUUGAAACGCGCGUUGGGAAAGGGCAGCCAUAUUUGAAUAUUAGCAAGUCAACCGCCAUGUGUUUUCUUUGUCAAGUUCACCGAUGGACAUAGCUAGGUGGGCCAUCACUACAUGUGCAUAGCAUAUUGGUGGCCAUGAGCCAUCACUAUGCUUUUUAAUUGAAAAAAAAGUUAUUGAAAAUAUGAGAACCGGUAAUAGAAUCGAUAUGUAAGGGUGGCAAUUGACUCGGGAGACAUGUGACCUGGGACCCAUUAGGUAUACUUGACACGGGUUUGGGUAUAUAUCCAAUACUUGAACUAGGCAGGUCGGGCCUAGGUUCAAAACUUGGACUCGAAUACUAUUUGAGUUAGGGUCAGGAUUGACUCGACCCGUAUCCAUAAACUUGUUGGAGAUAAAAUACUCGAAGCUUUAUUCGUUUGGGCGUUUUAAGGAAUCUGAUACAAUAAGAACUUGUAGUCAUUUUUAGCUAUGAAACAACAUAUCGAAUGACUUAAAAUCUAAUAGCGGGUGAUUGUGACAUUGUAGUCAAUAAUAUGGGUUCUAAUAUCGGGUGAUUGUGACAUUGUUGUCAAUAAUAUGGAUAUAUGAUGAUAAAAAAAAACAAAAAAGAAAAGAAAAAGAAUCUCAUAGUGAGGGUCACAGUAGACCCAACCAGGACGUGAUAGACCUGGGACCUGACGGGUAUCGAUAUGGGGUCCAACUUUUGGACUUGAUGGUCGGAUCUAAGUUCAAAACCUAAACCCAAUUACUAUUCAGAUCUAGGUUCGGGUCCAGCUGGACUUGACCCGUUGCCACCCCUAUCGGUGUGGACCACUCUAAAUUAGCUGAUUUUGAAAGACUGCAUUGGAUCUCGAUAUAUUACAAAAUUCAGAAUGAACAACGAAAAAUCUAAUUCAAAUUGAACAAUUCGAAUCUAUAUCACAAAUUUCUCGAAUCCUCAAAUAAUGUGCAAAAAGAUGAGUACAUCCCACAUGAGUGGGCCCUCUAGAAGCCACUACAUAAUGGGGAAGACCAGGGACGACCAAAGGAUGACCGGAAUAACAUAACAGACUGACGGGACGUGUGAUAGAGAGGCCCCACAACUUUCCUGCUACAAAAGCUUUAAACCCAAUCGCCUAUCUCAUAUUUCACUCAUUUCUCAAAAGAAUCCUUCUCCUCCAUCCCUGUAUCUAUUUUUGUUGGGCCAAAAUCUGGCCGCAAUCAAAACCUUGCAAGAAAAUGAAGGGGGUGGUGAUGGGUCUGCGUCCGGCUUCAGCCAGACCCGAUUCGAAAUUGACCUGAAAAUCAAUUUUUACAUUUAAAAAAAAAGAAAAAAAGAAAAAAUCGUAACUCAAAAAACACUUGAACCCGGAUCGGAAUCGGGUAACACCUGGACCGGAAUCGGGUUCGGGUAUUGGCUAUUGAACUAUGACCCGACCCGUCAGGUCCAAGUCCAACCCCUGGACCCGAGGUCGGGUCUUGGGUUCAUGGCUCCCGUUUUCUUGACCUAUCAUAUCCCACCCAAUCAUUACCUCCAUAACCUCGUUUCCAACUCACUAGUUGCAACUGCUUUCAUGGAUAACCCACUCAUCAAUUAUUGACGAUGAUCACUCCAUAUAAUUGAUGCAAAUUUUACUGUGUUUUUGGGCCAUUCUCACAGAGAAGGGGUUACUUCAAGUGCUCUUCGCUCAAGCCCUGUUUGCCUGGCCCUAUUUCUCCACACGGUAAUAAAACUGCCCUACAGUAGUAAGUCGGCCACCCGCUACUAUUCAUGGGCACAACUCGAGGAACAAGGCCCAUGGCAAGAUUCUGGUGUUAGAGGUAGUGUUUGCAAUAUCGGUCGGUUCAACUAGGAACCAGUCGGUGACCGGUUUUGGUGUUCUCAUGGAGUAUUUUUAAAAAAAACUUAAAAAAUUUAUAUAAAAUCUCAAAUAAUAAGGGAUUUGUUUGUAAUGAGUUUUUAAAUAUUUUUUUGUGUUAUUUUGGAAAAGAUUGGAAAAUGUUUUGAUCAUGAAUACUUAUUUUAUACAUUUUUUUCAAUUUUUAAAAAUUUCAAAAAUACAUUUAGACACAAAUGGUGUUUUUAAAAUCUAUUUUUUCACUAUCAAAUCCAUUUGAAUGUGUUUUGUUUAAUUAUUACUUUAAAUAUAAAUUUUAUUUUUUUUAACAUUUUUUUGAUCAACCAGAGCUAGGCAUCCAAAAGGCCCGAAACCGGCUGAUUGGUGAUGGGGGUAUUAAUGGGAUGUGCCCUUUUCUUUCAAGUACAUCAGGCCUCAAGUACAUCACGCGCCCUCUCUCUAUAGUGGAUGAUGUUAUGGAUGAUGUCUUCCAAGAUUUUCAUUCUUUGAAAUUGAGUAGUCCAUGAGAUUCCAUUUCAUAUCAAUGAAUGUGUGUGGGAAAUUAUGACACCACACCCAAACCCAACCCUACCCUAAACCCUUAAAAACAAAGGGUCCAAUUAGGGUUUUCGAGAGUCUAAGGUGAGGUGGUCCCUCACUUUUCCGACUUUGUAUACAAAAUUUAUCCUUAGUAGGCUAGAAAGAGCCAAAGGUUACUUUUAGCUUACUUUUUUGUGUACCACAAAAUUAGUCUCUUUGAAUAAGCUUGAACUCUAAAAGCUUCGAUUCCUUAAUCAUCCAUGUUCUCCUCAUAUGGGGAGAGCAAAUAGACAUUGCACCCACCUACUCUCAACUUGCCCUUCCCUAGCCAUACCCAAGGCUAAGUUUGGACCAUAGUUAGCAGGUCGAGGAAUAAUAAUAUAUCGGUAAAUCAUAAUAUUAUUAAUAAAUCGUUUUUGCUCCAAAAAGUCAGAGGCAAAUAUUCCGGUCAAAAGUAUAUAUCUCAAAAAGUAGUUGAGUUAGAGAAUCGUGAAUAUUUUAUAUUUGGAUAAAAAAAACCGAGUGAAAGAAUUGGAUAUAUAAAGCUAACACAAUGUAAGAUUAUGAGGUUUUUUUUUUAAUAAGUCAGUAGGGAUGAUGAUCCCCCCAUAUAAGAUUAUGAGUUGCAGGUAUUAUAUGGAUGCAUUAAAACCAUUGAACUAUAAAUUUUAUGUCCUUGCCUAGUAUCAUUAAUGUCAUACUUCACAAAUUUUUGUUUAAACAUUCUGCAAAUACAAUAACAAUGUUUACUCUGUUGUCACGACUCAAAACAUAUGAUUGAAUUAUUAGGAGCAUACAAAACAACAACAACAAUAUUAAACACAAGAGCUACAUUAACAAAAAAAACAAAAGCAGAAGGUAAGGGAUUAUCAUUGGAAGAGAAAAACAAAAAAUGACCUUUAGUUGAGGAUUGCAAUUAACUAAACUAUAUAAACCCAAAAAUGUAAAAUAGUGGUCCAUCCAAAUUGUUAUGCUGUAUACAGUAGUGAAACAAAAAAAACAAAUUAGAAAGAUGAAAUUAAUAAAAUUUAUGUAUCUAGAAAGAAAGCAACAAAAUUCUUAAGAAAAUCCAUAUAGAAAAAUUAGCAUAUGCUCAAAACACAAGACCCCUUUUCAUUAUUUUCUUGAAGGUGGGUGUUAUUAGUUAACAAUAGGUAGGUAGGAUCACAUGAGAGAGAUAUGUGCUAUUGACCACCCAUCUCUCCCCCUCCACCAUCCCUAACAGAUAGAAAAUGAAACCAAAAAGAAAAAAAAAUAUAGAAUGCAACAAGAAUGUUCAAGUUAUGCUCCUCCAUUUUUCUUUCAAGCAGGGGAACUUCUCACUUCUUUAUGGCAACCACAACAAUGACACCAUAGAAACAAGUCUUGUGAAGCAUCCCAAUGUCCUCUGAUACUCUCUUCUCAAACCUAUUGAAAAACUCCUCUGAGAGAGCUGGCCCAAUGUGGGCCUCAAUAAUAGGCUUGAGAGUGGCCCUCACUAAGUUUGCCUUAGCCUUGCCAUAUGAAACUGGGCUCCUAAUCCACUGCUCUUGUUUUUCCCUUGAAUGCUCAAUGAUCCUCUCAUACUCUGCCCUCUUCACCUCAAAGCCUCCGCACUCAUCGAAAGCCCUCCUCACCUCUUCGAUGCUCCUCAUAUACGCCGGAAUAUUGAAUGUAUCUCUCAUCUCUUCGUCGAUCAAUCCCUACACCAGGAUCAUAUCAGACUUGUAGUUUCUCCAAAACAAACACGGAUCCAUCUCCUUCAUCUGAUAGAAUGAAGUGAGUGAUCCCCAUGGCAUGAAUCCCUUGUAAAUUUAUGUGAAAUGAAGAAAACACAGUAUGUUUCAAGAUGAAAAAAACAGAGAGAUGGAGACAAUCAAGAAACUUCUAAUAACGGUGCUGCCGUUAUUUAAAAGUUCAUAGUCUUCUUGAAAACCUGAUAUGUACUUACCAAACAGUGGAAAAUCAGACUUAAUCUUGAGAAUAUUUUAAGUGUGCUAAGAAAAACUGAAUGGUCCAGGAUCAAACAUAUCAAAACAGCACAGGGCAAGUCCAAGGUUUGUAUAUUAAAAAAGGGUGAGGUUGGUAUAAGGUGUCAACCUUGUACUAUUGAAGUAAGGUGCACCUCAAGACUAUGUUGAAAAUGCAGUUCUGGUGCUGCAAAGCCUGUGAUGAUACGAAAAUCUAUUAUUGCCACCAAUUAUAAAAUGUAAAGUUUCAGAAAUGGUGAUGAUUAAGAAAAUCUAUAAACACUUGAAAAUCUCGAAAAUUGAUGGUCAAGAUAACAUGUUAGAAGAUGAACUAUUUUUAGGACUAGAAAUCCCCUUUUUUCAUAUCUAUGUUUUUCGAGGCCGAGAUGAUCGAUUUGAGGAUUUUCCUGUGUAAAAACAACCUUUUCUACUGGGUGUUUUAGGUGCGCUUUACUCGUACAGUAUGAGACUAACACCUUAGAUGAACUUUUUUCACUAAAUAAAUCAAGUGACAAGAUCAUAUUCAUUCUAAAUGGUAAGUUGGGGUGGGGGGUAAGUUCCAUGCAUAUGUGAAAGAUGUGAAAAGGCAACUCAUUGGGCUUAGCCAACAAAAAAAAAAGGAAAAAAAUAAAGAUAAAAAAUAAAAAAAAGAAAAGGUAUAAAACCUAAAGCUCAUAAACAAUUCCAUCAACAUGGGAAAGAUGUCUAAAAGGCAAGUAAUGGGCUUACUCAGCUUUCAAAAAACACUGAACUUUUACACUAAAAGCCGGGUGCAACAAUAAAUUCAUGAACUGCCAAAAGCCAACCAAACCAGUACUGGCAUGCAAUCUCAUGAGAGAGAGAGAAAUGUCAUGUAUGAGAGACAGAGACAGAGACAGAGAGAGCAAUCUCAUAUAAGAGAGAGAUAGAGAGGAUUGCGAUGAUGAUGAAAGACAAGGUAAGGUGGCCUUGAGGACAGAGAGGAGUUGAGUAGAUGACAACGAUAAAGGCAGUAAAUGUAUACUAAUAAUAGACUCACCUCAUUUAACAGAUCACGCCAUGCCUCAUCCAUUGACGAGGUGAAAGGGUGCUUGGCCCUUGACUCAGGGUCUCCCAGCUGAUUCUCAGCGCCUUGUGACCCAUCUCUACCUGCCAUCAGAAGAAAGAGCAGACCGCCCUCCACCAUCUCCUCCCUUCUGCACCUCAAGAACGCCAACAGGUCCUCCUCCGACUGCCGAGCAUAUGCUGCCACCACAUCCGCCUCCGCCCCAUCGAUCCACGCCCUUCCUUUGUUCCAUGCCCCCGAACUCUUCUGCAAUACUCGCUUCGGUAUCUGUCGAAAAACCACCAUGAAUAUUGUAUCAUGUGAGGGCUAGCUCCUCAUGACUAUGGCAAAUUUUCAUACAGAUCAAUACAACAGCGUGGCAGAGGCGAAAUCAGUUUACAGAGAGUGAGAGAGAGAGAGAGAGAGAGAAUGAAGGGGAGAUGAGUUUACAGGGCGAAUGAGACGAGUUAAAGGGAAAGUAAUUGUUACUUGAGAGAGCCAGUGCAAGGCGCUCAAGCUGACCGCGACAUGGAUGCUCCUCUUGGGGAAGAGGCGGCCGUAAAAUGACCCCGCAACCCCUGCUGCGUAAUACCUCCGUCCAUCUUCAUCAGCAUCAGCAUCCUCAGAGUCCGAAAGGGAAAGGGGAGGCAGCAAGCGAAAGAGGGAGUUGAAGUCAUUGGAGGGGAGGUCGGCAAAGAAGGCCUCAAACUCCAUUCCAGAACAAAAUCGACGCCUCUGUUGGAGGGUACGGACAAUGAGGUCGACGGUGGCAAGGGUGUUGAGGCCAGUGGCGCAACCCAGGUCUGCUAUUCUCACUACUGCAGUGUCCGAGCUCUCUAUGCUCAUGUCCCCGGUUUUGAUGGCAGUCAUGGCGUUGAGUAGGGCAUCGACGAGAAGGGGCUCGGCCAACGCAAUGGCGGAGGCCGGGGCUUCGCUGUUCUUGGCAUAGCUGCCAUCGUCGUCUCCACCCUGCAUGCAUAGCACGCUGUGGAGAUCACUCCCACCCCUCUUUCUAUUCUUUCUUUGCUUCUCCAUGCACCCCACAGGCACCAUCAUCAACCUUUGCGACUCCAUCACUCUCUCUUUCCUCUCCUCUCUACACUGUCUACUUGUGCUUGUGCUACUACAGCCGUGCAGUGGCCUUCAAUUAAAGAAGCGAGAGUAGUGGGACGGUGGCCCCACUCUAUAUACACACACACACACACAGGUUAAGAUUUCAGACCGUAAUUUCUUGUACCAAGUUAAAAUAUUGAAAGAAAAGUGAAAUCCACGCGUCUAAAUGUCACCCCCACCUUUAAUUUGUAACCCCAAUUAAUUUUACAUAUUACAUAUGGUUUGAGGUGAGUUACAAAAUUCAAAAAAAAUUUAUUGGAAUUUUUGAAUUUAGUGGAUGAUUAUGACAUCUUUGUAUCAAAAUUCUAUAUAUAUAUAUAUAUAUAUAUAUAUUAGAUGGAUCAAGCUUACACUAACCCCAACCCUAAUAGGUUCAAGUAAGAUCUAGAAGGGCUCCACCAGUCAAGUGGACAUGGACUGCACCUGCUAGAUCCACUUGGCAGUCAAGUGGACAUGGACUGCACCUGUUAGAUCCACUUGGCAGUUCAGACAUCAAUGGAUUUCUAUAAUUAGGUACUUGGAGACUAGAAUGUUUUUAAAGAAAGGUAUUGAUGCAAAGAGAAAAUAACAAAAAUAAAAAUAAAAUAAAAAAGUUAAGAGAAUAUACCCUAUCAUAAAGUCUGCAAAGGAAUUCAUCUAAAAAAAUAUUACUCAAUUCACAUUCUCUUAUCAGUCUCUAAACUUUAUGAAGGGACUUCUUCCAUUUAAAUAGAAUUUUUUUUAAAAAUAAACAAAUAAAGAAAAUCCACAAUAAAUAAUUCUUUCUCUCUUCUAGGUACUUUCUCCUAUUUUAUCUCUCGUAUCUAUUUUCUCUUUCACUUUUUCUGUCUCUCAAAUACUCUCCAGAUCUCAAUAGUUAUCAUGUUGAUUUUCUCCAUAUCUAAAUCUCUUAGCUGUCACAUAUUUAAAUAACCUUUAAAUCUCUCACUAAAUUUAACUAAAUAUUUUAUGCCACUUUAAUACAAGAUAAGCUAAAAAAACUAACUCACACUGCAUUUUUUAAAAACUCAUGCUACCCAUUCCUAAAAAGAUAAAUUAAAAAAAUAAUAAAAUUAUUAAAUUUUUCCUAAAUUUUAUUUGCAUCAAGUGUCGUUUGCAUGAGGUUGCAACCGUAAACUACCAAGGUAAGACACAUCUCCAAGCUUUGUUAUAAGAUGCAAUUUUGGUGUUGAAGUUUUUUAGGAUGAUUGGAAAAUCUAUUUUCAUUACUAGUUAUAAAAAUUUAAACUAGAAAAAUGGUUCAAAUCAAACAGAUCUAUAAAUGCAUGAAAAUCUUGAAAAUGAAUUGUCCAGAUAAUGUAUUGCAAGAUGUGCAAAAUUUAAGAAUUAAAAAUAUUUUUUUCUCUAUAUCCGUACAUCUCAAUAUCAAGAUGAUCAAUUCGAUGAUUUUCCAACAUCAUAACAACAAUUUUCAAUGUAUUUUUGAGGUGCACCUUAAUUGCCACAAUUUAAAGUAUCAACUUUAUAUGAACUUCUUGCUUGUAUAUUCACUUUUUACUAUACUAGUAAGAAAUCUAGUCAAAUAGCGUAUAGAUGGCUAGGGAUAAGUCCAUGUCCGGGAGAUGCUUAAGCAAUUUUAUAUGGGAUUGUCAAAAUGGGUUGUUGUAAGAGUGUCAUUGAAUGGAUACAAAGUUCCAAAAAAAAAAAAAAUCUUAGAUUUCAUGACUCACCCCAAGCCAUCCAAUUUGACAUCUAAUAUAUAGGAAUUGUUGUGAUCUCCUUGUAAUAAAAAUUAAUGGUCUGUUUAUAGACAAUCCCAUUUUAUACAGACUCCAAAAAUGCACAAUCCAAAAUGCACAUAAGAGUGUGCACACAUAAAUUCAAAUUUGAUAAGAAAAAAGAAUUAUGUUACCUUUCAAAAAAAAAAAAUUGAGAUAUUAUGUAAACGAUAUUCAUGACAAACAUACUCUUGCCGUCUCCUUCAAUACCAAAUAAUGUUCUUCCUUCUCACCAACUGUAAAUUUUUAAGAUAAGACGUAAGGUAUUUGCACAGAGCCCCGCAAGCCUACGAGUAAUGAAAAUGCUUUUUUUUUUUCCUCAACCCAAGAUCCUCUUAAUCUUGAGGAAUAAGGGAAUAUGAACCGAUAAACAUGUUUUUUUGUAAAACAGUGAUUUAUUACUGAAUAAAACAAUAGGGGUUAUAGUAAUUUUUAUGUUUAUUACUACUUAAUAUUGGUACGAGGAUAUGGCUCAUACUAGAGCAGAUUAACAAACUAAAAUUCGUGUAGCUAAUUUUAAUUAGUUGAAAAAAUAUUUUGAUGACGAUAAUUACUACUUAAUAUGACAAACGGGGAAUAUACUAAUUUCUAUGCUUACUAACUAGUAAUUAAUGAACGGAUUGUUAUAAUUUCUUUGAAAACUUAAAUGAUAAAGACUAAAUAAUGGAGACAAAAUUGUAUAAAAUGAUUAUGAGCAAAUAAUUCCUCAAUGAGCAAGGUUUACAUAUGUAAUAAGAAUUGCAUACUAUAAAACCUUUUUUUUUUUUUACAAGGUCACAUCAUUUUUAGGCAUUAAAUGUGAAAUUGAACAUUUAAAGGGUGUGUCCCAAGGUAACCCUCAAUCCUUGCUUGUUAAUUUCAGGAAAAGUUGUGAAGUUCUUAUAUAAAAGAUAAAUAUUUUUCUCUAAAGAAAAGAUCAUGUCAGCCAAUGGGUUGAUGAAAUAGUAUAAGCCCAAUAACCUAAACGGAAUUUGGGCCGAUCGAACGAUCACGAUUGCAUUUCAUAUUUGAAUUUGAAAUAUUUUUAAUAAAAAACCAAGUUACAUGAUAUUUAAGACAACCACUCAUCUCAUCAAGAGGCAUGUAAUAAAAAUAUUAAAAUAAAUAAAUGAACUUAAAUACCCUAAAUAUUACAUACGUAUUUUGGUUAUUAAAUUUUUAUGAAUUAUUUUUUGAUAUUUUUAUUAAAUUCACUUAUCUUUCAUGAAUAAAUACUUCAAAUUUCAAAUAAUUUUAAUCUAUAAAAAAUAAUUAAAAUUUAAAUAUAAAAUACAAUCAUAACCAUUAAAUCGAUUCAAAUUCAAUCUGUGCCAAAGUCGUCACCGAUCAAAGUGACCUCAAUAAAUUGCCCUUUCUCUAUUAUUAUAGUAUAGGAUUAGUUAUAGAUGGGGUUUGACCUUAAAAGGCUGAUUACGUAGGCAGAAAGUGCAGGGAUAUUAAUUGUAGGUUGUUUGCCACUCAUGUUUUCAGGUUAAGAAAACCUACAAAUACAAGUAGUUAUUAUUUUGACGACCGUCAUCACUAAAUAAAUAAACAAUGAAUGGCUCAUGAAGUCAACCUACGCGGCCCUCUCUCUACUUCCCUCCUCUCAAUCCGCUCCAAACCUAUGCCUCAAAUACACAUGUAAAUAUGGGCUAACAUGAGUUUUUCUCUCUCUUAAUUUUUUUUUUUUUAAAGGUUGGGUUAGAAAAUAAAAAAAUAGAAAAAAUACAAUGAAAUCAUUUACCUUUUAUAUAAGGUGGUCACAAUUAAUCUUAGCAUUUAGAUGUGAAAUUGAAUGGCUAAGUUGGUCACAAUUAAUCUUAGCAUUUAGAUGUGAAAUUGGAUGGCUACAUUUAUCCAAUUAACCAAGUUCAAAGGAAAUAUUUUCAAACUAUGUGACACACACACAUAUAUAUAUAUAUAUUUUAAUAUUACCAAAGAUUUUUUAUUAAAAAUAAAUAAAUUACAAGAUACAAACAAAGUCAUUAGAAGGAAGUACUCACCACUUAAUAUUGGUAUACUCUUUUUGUGAGACAAUCAGCUUCAGCAUUAGCCUCCGUAGUAGCAAUGAUGGAUUUUAGCAUUUACAAUGGUGGAUUUCAGCUGUUACAAUUUUAAGAAUAUCCUAUAAUUCGUAAGAAAUUAUGGUCAACCUCCAUGGAACAUUAGCUUCGCCUUUACUCCAAACUAUAAUGUUUACUAAAUCCUCUUUUAUGAUAUUUGCUCCCUCAUAUCUUGCCAAGAGUUUACAGACCUCUAGGUUCAGCUUCAUUAACUAUAGCAACAUCACAAGGACAAAAUAUGAACAAAUCACAUACUAUGUAGCCUCUUAUCAAUACACCAAAACCAACUGCGUCUGGGUUUCCAAAAAAGCUUCCAUUAAAAUUCAGUUUCUAUGCAUUAGCAGGUGGUGGUGUCCAAACGGCAUCCAAGCUCUCAAAUUUCAUAUUGGAUGGUAAUGAGUAAUUGUGACCUCUUUGUACAUUAGGUAAAUAGUCUUACCGUAUACAAUCCAAAAAAUUGAGAAUAAGUUGGAGCUUUGGUGGUAGUACCAACGAGCUUUAUAAUGAAGCUUCUGACUCCAUUCUCAGCAAAGGAUGGGGGCCCAAAUCCCCAUCGACUUACUCUUUUUUUUUUUUUUUAUACAAUCCCAAAAAAUAAAACACCUCUCUUUGUUUAUUUAAAGAAAGGUUGGGUAGGGGACACAUCAACAUCCCCCUUCCAAAUUCCACCUUGGAGAUGUACUGAAGAUCUAAGACUCUAGCUCUAUCAUCUCAACCUCCAUAAUUAGAAUUUUGAAAAAGCAAAAAUGUUUAACUUUAAAAAUGCUCCAUUUAAAGUCAUGGAUUCAUGAGGACAUAGGAUGUAUCGGAAGACCAUAAGGAGGACCACUCAUUAAAAAGAAACAUAAUUCUUUGUUUAUUUCUGGGGUGCAUACAGUGUAUUCAAGCAAAAGCACAUUAUACUCUCACUCCUUUGGACAAAUUAUCAAAAAUUAUUAUUUUUUCUUUCUUUUUUAUAUGAAAUUUUUGGAUCGACAUCAUAAUCAUUGGACGCAUAUUGAAACAAAAUAGACUAUGAACUCCUAAACUCUUUCCGCUAAUCAUCCCGACCAUUGGACGCCGGAACCUUGGGGAUGUUAUGUUGUAAAUGUAUAUGUAAAAGCAUUAUCUUUUGAGAAUUUUUUUCAGAACUUUGUAUCUUUUCAAUAACACUCUUACAAUCAUCCAUUUUGAAAUUUAAGAGACAAGAAUAAUAGUGCCCUUCUUAUACAAAAGAUAAAUGAUUUCUUUGUAGACAAUCCCAUAUAUAGAGAAUAUAUAAAUUCUUUUUUCUUUUUUUUUUAAGGAUAAAGAUUGCGGAGGUUACAUCUCAAAAUUACAUGUUCCUACAAGAUUCCUGGAUAUGGGGUUUAGUGGAGGGAAUAAACGUAUAAUAUUCCCCUCAGGGGCAUAGAGUCUUUUUAGCAUUUUUUAUAUUUUCUCUCUCUUCCACACACUCUCUCUCUUGUACUCAUGUCAAAUCCUGUUUGAGUCAAAGGAAAGUGAUCGAGAUGCGAGGCCAUUAGGGCCAGCUUACUCCACCAGUCCACGUUCACCACUUUCCACAAGAAAAAGAAAAAAAGAAGAAGAAACAAACACUCCAACGAUGAUUUUGUGUUUAAGAAAUGAUUUCAUAUUUAAAAAUCUAAAUGUUAUAUAUAUUUCUAGUAAGGGUGAGGUUUGUAUAAGGUGCCCUCUUUAUAUUAUAAAAAUAAGAAGCACUUCUAAAUUUUGUUUAGAGAUGUCGUUUUGGUGCCAAAAACUAUGAUGGCUUGAAAAUCUAUUAUUAUUCUUGGAUAUAAAAUUUAAAAUUUUAAAAAUUAUACAGAUCAAACAAAUAUAUAAAUAGUAGGAAUUUUAAAAAUAGAUAGUCUUGAUAAUUUGCUAGAAGAUUAUUAUUUUUAGGACUCGAUAUUCUUUUUUUCUUCGUGUUCAUACAUGUUAAGGUCGACAUUAUCAAAUUGGAGGAAUUCUCUUUUCUAAAGAUUUUUUGAGAAACCUUACUUGAAAAAGUAUAAAAAUUGACACCUUGCCCUUUUCCUUUUAGCAAUGGGUGAGGUUGGUAUAAGGUGUCGACCUUAUACCAUUGAAGUAAGGUCGACCUCCAAACUAUACUUAAAAUGCAAUUUUUGGGCGUCAAAAUCUUUGUGGUGAGAUGAAAAUCUAUGGUUGCCCCUAAUUAUAAAAUUUAAAGUUUCAGAAAUUGUGACAAUCAAGCCGAUCUAUAAAUACUUAAAAAUCUUGAAAAUUAACUGUCCAAAUAAUGUGUUAGAAGAUAAACUAUUUUAAGGCUAAAAAUUCCAUUUUUUCAUGUCUAUAAAUCUCAAAGUCGAGAUGAUCGAUUUGAAAUUUUCUAAUAUAGAAACAACUUUCUCUAGUGGGUUUUUGUGGGGCACAUUACUAGCAUAGUGUAAGGUUAACCCUUAAAAUAAACUUUUUCCUUUUACUAAACCAUUGAAUUUCAGACUUAUAAUUGUGAUGGGGUGGAGGUACGACCCCCACAAAGGAGAAAGCAACCACUCGUUGUUAGUACUCUCCCCACCCCUAUACUCCCCCUUCACUUUCACAAAACCACCUCCUUAUUUCCUCAAAGUUAGAGCCCUACCACCCUCUCCUUUUCUGCAUUUACAUUUAUGCUAGUCCAGUUUGCAGCAAGGAGAUUCCUCUCUCUCUCUCUCUCCAUCGCGGUCAGCAUUUGAGAUUGCACGUCAAAAGGGGAACAUAUUUAUGGCCUCCAAAUGAAUUUUUUUCAAAAUAUCUUACAAUUUAAGAUUUAGAAAUUUCAUAAAAUUUAGGAGAAAGUCCUUUUUUUUUUUUUUCUUCUGAUAAUUAAGUGGAGAAGACAAGCCCUUACCCAUUUUUUAAAUUAGAUUAGAAGUAAGCAUUUUGAAAGUAUUAAUUGGGUGGUGUUAGUAGUGGGAAAUUGAAGAGAAAGUUUAUAUAAACGGUUAGCUUUAUACUGUAAAAAUAAGGACGCCUCAAAAACUCAUUGGAAAAGGAUGUUUUGACACCGAAAUACCAUCCAAUUGUUCAUAUCAGCCUCUAGUGCAUAGACGUAGGAAAAAAAAAAAUUUCAAAUCUUAAAAAUAGUUCAUCUUGUUAUGUAUUAUCUUACAUAUAUUUUUUAAAAUUUGAGUGUUUGUAGAUAUGCUCGAUCUACAUAAAUUUUGAAAUUUUAAAUUUUAUAAUUAGAUAUGAAAUAAAUUUGAAGACCGUCAUAGGGAUUUUUAGUACUUGAACGGCAUCUUGUAGUAUUAUUUCAGGAUGAGCCUUACUUUGAUUGUUUAAGGUGCCAACCUUGUACCAACCUCACCCUAAAGCUUAUAGGUUAGCCUUGUAUUGUGUUGGAUUGAAUCCCUGUAUUUUAGGGAUUGGGUCUCUAUUUUUAGGUGGUUUCCUGUUAAUUUGGAAUUACUACUGAUCUCUUACCGUUAUCUAGGUAUCUAGGGGGUGAAGUCCUAUUUAGGUUAGGGUAGCCUUGGGAGUCCACCUUUCAAGGGGAUAAGGUCAAGUUUCCCAAAGUUAGAAAAACUAGUUUUUUCCUUAUAUUGGGUUAUUUUAUAGAGAGAGUAAGUGAGAAAAAGAGAAGGAAAACUUGAAGUUUCUAGAAAGAAAUUUAUAGAGAGAAAGGUAUUGUGGGAGAUUUGCUUUUUUUUUUUUCUAGUUCUCUCAUGCAUGUGUCAUUCAUAAUUUUUUUCUCAUUGAUUAGUGAAAGACCAUCGAUUUUUUUCACUGUGGCUGUAAUCACAUCUAUGACGAACCACAUAAAUUCGAGUAUUUGUUUUGUAUUAUUUAUUUCAUACUUUAUUUUUUGUACUUGUUAUUUGCUUGUUGCUGAUUCUAUUUUUUCUCACUUAUUUUCAACCCGUCGGGUUUUAGAACAUCCGCAAACAACACCUUGGAUGCACCAAUAUUUUUCGUUUUAUACUCUAAAUUUGAUUUCAAAACCUAAAUUUGAUCCAAAACAGCAAAAAUGGUGUUUAAUAUUUAGGUGCGCACAUACGUAUUAAGUCCACUAGCAAAUGCUAAAAGGGAGUGAAAAUGAGAAAGAUGUGAAAGAUGUGAAAGUGGAGGGUGAGAAAGAAUUUAGAGGUGAGGUGUGGUCCUGAGUUGUCAUGGCUACCAGGACCAUCUGCAGUGGCAGAACUCUGCAAUCAGUGAGGAACAUGUGGCCUCUUUUCUGGUCACUGAACGCCUUACACAACAAUAUUUUUCUUAGGGUUGGGUUGUGACUUAGAAGAGGAAGGACAUUGUGGAAAAGGAGUCAAGGAUAGGAGUGCAGUGCUUUUAUUGGAUAGGGAUAGCUUUGACCACCUCUUCCUUCCCCAUCCUCACUCCUCACUCGAAUCAGCUUUAGUGUUGUCAAUUUUAUUUUAAGAAAGAAAAGGAAUUUUUUUUUUUCUUAAACACCUUUAUAUUAACAUAUUUAAUAUCAAAGGAGAGUAGAUAGUAUCUUUUGUGCGCAUGCAGCCUUCUUGUCUAUAUCACGGUAUAGGUUGGACAACUCAGAUUGAAUAAAAAUACACCAUCUAAAAAAUAGAUUUAUUUUACCCCAAAAAUUUUGUGCAAAUCUUUUUUUUUUACUUUACUCUAAUGCGUGCAAAUUUAGGUUGUUUGCCUGUUGCAUGACUGGCCAUUAAAAAAACAGCAAUAAAAUUUUCCAUACAGGAGAUUUGGAAAGGGCAAAAUAGGAUAAUUUUCGAGGGCAGAUCGUUGUCUUUGAAAAGGGUAUUGAGUAGUAUAUAAUAUACUCUAUGGUGUUGGUUGUCAGUUAUGAAGGAAGGUUGGGGUCUCUCCAAGAUCGAUGUCUUGAUUAGGAAACCUGGUAAAUAUGGGGAUUGUCAAUUGCCGAUUAAGAAGAAGGUGGGAACUUCCCCUAAUAGGUUGUUACAAAUUCAAUUUUGAUAGGAGCUCCUUUGGUGACUUGGGUAUAGCUGGAAUGGGGGGAGUAGUGAGAGAUUGCAAUGCUUUUAUGUUAUGCUAAGCUAUGUGGGAUUACUACAGCUAAUCAUGGAGAAUUAGUCUCUCUUUUACCGUGAUUGAAGUUGUCUAAAGAUAAAUUGUUAAGGGAUUUUAUUAUGGUUGAGGGCGAUUCUUUGAAUAUUAUUAAAUGAAACAACAAGGAGCAAAGUGUUGUGGUUCGGAUUGCGUGCGUAUAUGUGCUCUUCUGACUUGUUCAUAAUAAAGCAGUUACAAACUAGAGGCAUACGAUACAAACCUAUAAGAAACACAUACAAAGGGGUGGGGCCGUUCGCACCUGAUUUGGCAUAAUAUAGACCCUCUUAGACUACCAGCGUUUGGUACCACAGAAGCCCUCUCGACAAGACUUGGUCGAUCUAUCAAUCCAGAAUGAGGCAAAACCUCAAAUAACUGAAGAAGCUAACUGCUUACGAGAGGCCUGCAUACCCUCCAAAUUCCAAACGACUAGCUCAAUAACUUUUCGAUUAUGAAGUGGGUAGUCCGAGUUUUCUUUUGGUUUUUGAGAAUUUUAGGUUCCAAAAAAAGAGAAGUUCUAGGUUUUUAGGGGAUUUUUAUGUUGGAGGAAAAUCUCUUCAAAGAUUGGGGGUAUUAUAGGAAACUAGGGGCAUUUUGGGUAGCUUGGUAAAGUUGAGUGGUAAUUUGGAGAUUAUGGAAGGGAGGCAUGGGCACUUAAGGAAGUUCAAGUUUCCUCUCUUUAGGGAAAGGGUUUCUCUAUCUAGAUUAGGGUUUAAUUCUCAAAUGGCGUUUAAAUUGGCUUUUACAAACAUGAAUAAUCAUGGGUUAAAUAUCAAAAAUUGGUAGGUGGAAAAUUAAAAGCAUGGCUCAAAAGAAGGUGGAUUAUUAAAAAUAAAUUUGGGCUAGGGCUGAAAAUGACAAAAAAAAAUGUCUAAAUCUUGAAAUUUUCAAUGAUUUGCCCUUGAUGAGACAUCUUUCUUCGUCCACUAUCGAAGCCUAUUACAUUGGAUCAUUUUUCUACAUUUUGGCCCAAAUUUAUUAAGUGAAAUCGUGAAGCAAUAUACCACCAUCAUUAUGCAACAACUUUGAGCGAAAACCGUCAUCUAUUUGCCAAGUUUAACUCAAUUUGGGUUUUGGUCUUCCAAUUUCAAAAAAAUUGCAUACUAAUUUUUACGCCUCGUCAUGGCGCUCAAAUUUGGCAGGCAUUUGACGAUCAGCCAGUAGAUUCCUAUGGAAGACCUUGGGACUGAUGUUUGAUGAAAAUUUUGGGCUCAAGUUGAUGCUGGAUUGGAGAGAUACGACUCUGUGAUUUUUACCAACUGCAAUCUCAUAACUUUAGGCAGCUUCUCACUAGGAUUUGCCCCCUUAUGGAUGUGUUCAUCUUUGAGUUAGAAAGCUAUGUGCAAAGGUUUGGCUCAACUAGCUUUACAGAUUGCGAGAUGUUGCUUCGAGAGUGAGUGGAGGUCAUAGGGACUAAUAUACAUCACUUAUUGUGAACCUCCAACCUCGUGGCUCGAUUCGACAUCGAUCCGAGUGGAGAAACCCACGAUCCAUACAUAAAUGAAAAGUUCAUUUAGCAAAGAGCAACAUUCUGAAAUUUGGGCUCGUUGUGCUUUAGGAAUCGGGAGAUAUGGCCCCCAAAUUGUUGCAAAAACUUUUGUGGGUUGCUGUAGUCCUCAUGAAGAUGAUAGACCACAAACGUAAUAUGGUAUGUUUUUCUUGUCUCUAUGGUGCCCCUAUGGUGCACAAAAGAUGUGGCCUAAAAAGGAACUUCUAAAUAUAAAAUUUGGUUGAAAUGUUUACCAAAGGCUUUCCUCAUCCUUCCUUCAAUAAAAAAUUUGAGUUUAUUGGCCACUUAUUUCUUGGAUUCUUUUUGUAAUGUUAGAUCGAUUUAGGUAGACACCUUGCUGCGGUUCAAGGAGUUCGAGAAGCUAAUCUCUCUCAACGGAUGUUAAAUUUGGACUGUAACAUGUUUAUAUUUAAUACUUACAUUCUAUAAAUUUCUUGGACCAUUUAGAUAUUUAUAUCUUCAUGUGUUUUUAUACAUGGGCCUUGGAUCAAUGUUGUGAGAUAGACAAUUAAGCUUUGUCGGGUCAUAUUUUUGUUAUCCUUUGUCAGAUCGGUCUUAUUUUUGGAAAGGAACUUAAGGAAUCAUAAAUUGAGGUUUAGAACUUUCUGAUUGCCAGUUCAACCUAAUUCGACAUGGAUGUAACAGUACCCUAUAUCCAAAUGUUAGAUUAAUGUUAUGAGAUGGAUGGUUAAACUUCAUUAGGCCAAAUUUUAGUCAUUCGGCAUCAUAUUGGUUUGGUUUUCAGAAAGUAGCCUCAACAUGCAUUGGAUUAAGGAUUCAACAGUUGGAUUAUGAUUUUGAUUUCUUUUAGCCCAAGUUUGACGUUGCCUCGUUCUGGAGCGUCUAAUUGGUGACUUGGGCAUGAUUUGGCUUGGAUCAUUCUCAUUUUAGACAGGAAGAUUCCUUUCCUAAUAUUAAGGGAAUUUUGUACCUUUUGAUUUAUUAUAAGACUGCUUUUUACACACAGUAGCUAUUUCCAGUGGUUCCUUUGGUAUUCCAGCAAUUAUUGUAUAGGGAAUUUGGUAUUCCAGAAAUUAUCGUAUAAGAAAUUUUAUUUGGCUGGACAUUGUCACUCUUUGAGUAUGGUGAUAGUUUUUUUGGAGACAAAGAGCGCCUCCUAAUUUGAGGUAUUUUUGGCUGCAGAAUCUAGAUCUUAUUUUUUCAUAUUUAUAAGGAAUCCAAUGAGCUUGCUAACAAUUUUGCUAAGAGGGGUACUCUUUUAUUUGCGGUGGUUAUUUUUGAGGAUGUAAAUUAUUUGUUGUAAACCUUUUUGUAUAGUUUAGAUAAAGUUUAAAUAUUGUUAAAAAAAAAAUAAAAAAAUGUUUGAAUAUUUGUUGGGACUUCUUAUUACCACUUUGAGGUCACUUAGUAUCUCCUCUUUGCCAUUUAUUCACAGCUCCUCCAAAGGAAGCCUCCUCCUUUGCCUUGUGAAGAUUCCUACUCAUGCACACACAAGAUUAACGGCUCUUGUGGUUACUCAUUUUAGAAGGACUUAAGGGCCAUCUUUUGUUUCUCAUUUAAAGCAUUUCUCAUUGAAAACUAUUCAAUUCGACCUAUGAAAUUAAGGACAAAAUUUGAACAAUUGUUUCAUGGAUCGGAUUUGUACAAUAUGCAAUCCAGAGGUAUAAAGCAUCCAUCUUAAAGAUAGAUGCAAAUAGAUGGUCCAUCUAAAAACAAUAGUAAGUAACAAUGUAAAUGUUUUUUUAAUAUAAUUAUUAUUUCUAAGUUUCAAAAUUUAUUUAUUUAUUCAUAUUCAUGAUCUCCAUGUUAAAGAUUACAUAUUCUCUAAAAAUUAGGAUCAAAUUAUAUUUAAAAUAUAUAUUUAUUGCCAAGCCCGCAUUGGCAUAUGUGUGGGCUUGACCGCAUGCUAACCGCGUCCCAAAAAUGUAUAUAAGGUUACUAUUGAAGUAAAACGCACCUCAAAAACCCACUAAAAAAGGUUGUUCCGAUGCGAUAUACAAGCCUCACCCAAAAUUGAAAGGCAAGAAGCAAAGAUUUAAUUUUCCUUCAGACAAGAUGAUUAGCAUUGCCCUGAGGAUCCUUUUCGCAGCCUAUGGAAGUAUUGACAUUGCAAUUGUCUUUCAUGGUGUUUGAAAACCUAGAUUAAGACCGGGACAAGGGCCCGAGCCUGUGUUAGAGUUAAACUCGGCCCACUUGGAGAGUUAUUGUAUUGAUAUUGCUUCCAAAAAAAUCUAUUACAUGUUUUGUGUUAUUACAAUGGAGUAAACAUUAUUGUUGUAUUUUAUGAAAGUUCAGACAAAAAUUUGUCAGGUAUAACUUUAAUGAUACUAGGUAAGAACAUAAAAUUAUAGCUCAAUGAUUUUAAUGUAUCUAUAAAAUAACCGCACUUCAUAAUCUUAUAUUUUGUUAUAUUCACUUAUAUGAUUCUCUAACUUACAUAAUUUUUGGUGAUCCAUAUUUUUUCCCCAAUUUUUUGCCUCCGACUUUUUAAAACAAAACCAAUUUAUUACCAAUAUUUUGUUUUGCCAAUAUAACUUUAUUUCCUAACUUGUUGCAACCACAAACCGAAAGAUAACUCUCUUGUAGAAGCCAAAAAUGCCAUCCAAAAUAUUGAAGUAAGACUAAUUUUUUAGGAUGAAAGUUCUUCCUUCUUUCAACCCCUGAAAACCCUAGCACCACAGACACACACUCACUCUCUCUCUCUCAUCAAUUAGAUAUAGAUUUUACUGAAUACCACUUCAUAUUCCUUGCCCAAACUUAAGCAAAAAUUAUGAAAUAAACUUAUACCAGAAAAAUAUCAUGAGUAGUCUACCUUAAUCCUCUUGAUGAGAUCUAGUUUACUGAAUUCAAUCCGAGUGAAUUGACAGUCCUUUGCCAGAGAGAGAGAGAGAGUUAGAGAGANNNNNNNNNNNNNNNNNNNNAAAAAGAUCCUUUAAAGGGCUAGAUCUUUGCAUUUCGUGAAUAUGGAUGGCUUAUACUAAUUGGGCUACAAAAUAUUUUCUAGGAUAUAUUUUCAAAGUUUGUUUUUUUUGUGAUUGCUUUUUAAAAUGAAAAAAAGUGUAUAUUUAAAAAUUUGGGUCAAACAAAUAGGCCUAACAUGAUAUGUGAAGAGUGUUUCAUUAUAUUACUAUACAAUCAUUGCAUGAAAUCAAUCCUCUACAUAAAAUUUAUAAAUAUGACAUAAUGGUUAUUUAUUAUAAUAUUUACAUAUAUCAUAUAAUUAUUAUGUGUAAUUUAAUAAUAAUAUAAGAUAGAAGCCCACCUAGGUUGGGUCCGGGUGAAAGGGGCAUGGACGUGAUUUGGUUUGGAUCCAGGUCAAGCUUGAUCCGGGCCCCACGCAGCCCGUUGACACCCCUAAGUAGGACAUUAAAUGGUACUGGGUUGUGAUUUUUCUUAUCAAUCUUUUAUAACCAUGACUGGAAUAUCAAGCCGGUCACGCCCAAAUCGGGAUUGGCAGUUUCGAUCCGGCUCAAUGGGUUCUCCAAAAAAAUUUUAUCUUGAUACCCAAAAAAAGAAAAAGAAAAAAAAAAGAAUAAAAAACUGUGGGAUUUGGGAGAGUCCGGGGGCUCUUCACACCCAGAAUAUACCCGAACUCCCCAACUCUUAAAACGCUGGAUUUCGUAGCAGGUGAUAGUGGUUCAACAAUUACUUUUACUUCAUAAAAUUCAUGAGAAUUCAUAAAAGGAUCCGGUUUCUGUGCGGCCAAGCCCGCAUAUGUAGAAAUGCUGGCCUAUUAAUAAAUCAAAAUUUUUAGAUGAAUUUUUGGACUUAGUUUUUAAGGAUAUGUAAUCUGUAACAUUGAGAUCAUGAAUAUAUGAAAAAAUUAGUAAAUUUAAAAAAUUAGAAAUAAUAAAUCUAAUAAGAAAACAUUUAGACAUUUAGUUUGUAUUGUUUUUAGAUGGAACCUUUACUUGCAUUCAUCUUUAAGAUGGAUGCUUUACACUUUUUGGACCGCAUAUGUAGUCAUGCGGUCCAGCCCGCAUGAAACAAUUUUCUUUCAUAAAAUACGUGAUGCAGGUUAUGGUGACUAUUUUUUUUUUUGACAAGGUUAUAAGUUUUUCAUUAAUCAGAUACAACGAAAUGCAAUCAGAUGAGCAAAGAAUUGCUAAUUACAAAUUCAGAAGUAUUGACGCCUAAAAUAUUUUAGUCAAAAGCAGUGACUAAAAUAUUGUGAAUGACUAAAAUAUAGUGAGGCAAGUUUUGUUAUGGUGACUAAAAUCUUGACUAGAUUUAUUAUGUUUAAAAUAUUUAUAUACUAAAAGCCUAUAGUUUUUCAGACAUAAAAUCUUGGAGGUCGAAAAAGUUUCCUAGAAGGGAAUCUCUGGUUUUGUGCAAUUUCGUCCACAACAUCUAGGUUUGGACAAAGACAAGAUAUUGAUUAGAAAAUAUAUAUUUUUCUAAUUAGAUUGUUUAGAAAAUAUUGAUGUCUAUUUAAAUUUAUCAAUAAAAUUCUUUAUUUUAAUUAUCCUAUUGGAUAUACGUCAUAUUUUUGUGGAGCUAUCUAAUAUCAGAUGAAAGUAAACGAUGGAAAUUUGAACUUUUUCAUUUUAAACUCGAUUUCACAAUAUGAUUUAACUGUAUUCUCAUUUGAUUUAAAACGAUAGAGAUCCACCAUUUUAGGUGAGGUUUUAUUUAUUUAUUAUUAUUAUUAUUUUAACAUCAACAAAUGACUUUAAUUAACUUUAUAAAGGGUGGAAUUACAAAGGGAACUAAUGACAACAAAAAUACAUCAAAAAAAAUGUGGUGAUCACCAACGAAGAUUUAUGAGCACCCUCUUUAGCUAAUGAAUUUGCUUCGCCGUAGCUAAUGGUGUAUUUUGACAUUAAGUGUCCCAAAAAUAUCUCCAAUUUCAUGAAAAAUAGUGGAUAGUCUCCAAAGUAAUCUUACCUCUCCUUUACACCAUGCUACAAUAUCGGUUGAAUCUCCUUCAAUAAUUUCUUCCUUCAAAUUUUGUAAACAAUUUAAGUCCCACCAAGAGGCCUCUAGCUUCUACUUCAUUUAGCGGUAUAUUACCACAAGGACUAAAACAAGAAAGGAGAGUAUAGCCCAUAAUGGUGUAAGAUGGAGCAAAGAGCUCCCUGGAUGCUUAAGUCUAUUUGGGGUUAAGUCUGAGAUCUGAUGGGGUGUUUAACCUCGACUUUCGAACAUGUCUAUAGGGAGUCCAAUAUGUUGGCUGAUGGGUUAGCAAAGGGUGGUCUCUUACUUGAUUCUAUCUCUAUUCUCAAUGAUAUAAUUUGAUUUUUGCAGUAAUAAAAUUCGAUAACUUCUGUCAAAAAAAAAAAAGAGUAUGCCCAUAAUGGUCUCUAAUAAGCCCUUCAAAUCUCACAAUCCCCAGGUUUCCAAAAAAGUUUCCAUCAAAAUUAAGUUUAUAAGUGCUCAAUGAUUGAGGGUUUCAAACAUCACUUUGGAUGGUCCUAUAGCUACCAAGAUAGGCCGGAUGCAUAACGAUAAGGAUCUUAGGAAUACCUAUGCAGUCCUUGUGAAUAGAAAAUCAAUCUCGUGGCCAAAGCCAAGAUAUUAUUUUAAAAUAACUGCAUCCAACAUAACGCUUUAAAAAACUCUUCUAUUUCGCUCCUUCCAAAUUCCAUAAAGCACACUCACCCAAACUAAUCUCUAAAGGAUGACAACUAUCUUAAGGAUCCCCGGUGUUAACCACUGUUCAAGAAGGGACUUAGUAUCUACCUAAAUAGGCAAAUGAAGAUUGAACAAUUGACGAACCCAACUCCAAAGUUGCAUUACAAAAGGGCGUUCCAAGAAAAGAUGGUAGAUACUUUCAUUAUCAGCUUUACAUAUAAUGCAUACAUUGAUGAUGUUGAAACCCCUUCUCCUAGGAUUAUCAAUAUUUUAAGAGAGUUUUGUGAAGAAAAAUGGUUGUGGCAAUCCGCCAUCAUGUCUGCUUUGGUGUUAUCUCAAAGUUGGUUUUUUGGUAGCUUUUUCAGAGAAAAAGGAUCGUUGGAUUAAUGAUUAACUAUAUUUUUCUUUCUCUUUUAAGGUCUAUUUUUUACUUAUAUUAAAGAGAUUUAAAUCUAUUUUUUUAGAGAUUUGAUAAUGAUAUUCAAUUUUAGGUGUGAUUUGUGUAAGGCUGGGGCCCUAAGUGAUCAAAGCAAGGUGCACCUUCAAAUAGUGUUAAAUGAUAUCAUUUCAGUAUCGAAAGUCUUUGCGAUGGCCUUAAAAUUUAUUUUAAUAUCUAAUUAUAAAAUUUGAAAACUUCAAAAAUAGUGUAGAUCAAACAGAUCUAUGAAUGCUUGAAAAUUGACAGUCUAGAUAAAGCAUUACAUGAUGCACUAUUUUCAAAACUUGAAGUUCAUUUUUUUUAAGGUCCAUGUAUCUCAAAGUUAAGAUCAUCGGAUUUGAAGGUUUUAUGGCAUCGAAACAACUUUUUCUAGUAAAGUUUUUAGGUGCGCAUUUGUUUAUUGUUUCCUCAACCUUAUAUAAAUGUUUUCCUUCAGUUUUAAUCUUUUUUUUCUCUUUUCCUUGCCUUUUUCUUUCCUUUUGAGUUAUUUAGUUCAAUCGCCCAAAUCCAGACCCUAUCGGAAUCGCCACUCAAGUAGGUCCAACAAGGGGUCAAUUUGGAUCCUUUUUUUUUUUAUCCUAAAACAAUGCUUGAAAAUAAACAAUCUAAAUGAUACAUUACAAAAUAUUGUAUGCUUGACACUUAGUAUUAAAAAACUCAUUGAGCUGCUUAACACUAAGUAUUAAAAAACUCACUGAGCUGACUCAAGAAUCCUAGAGUUGGCUCACACAUAACGGUUGGGUCUCACCAACUUGGGUGAGUUGGCCUGGAUACCACAUUUCUAUUUUUUUCACAUGUUUCCUUUUUUCUUCUAUUUUUACAGUCGUUAAACCAUAUCCGACCCCGUUUUAUUCAUUCGAAUAUCCAAAUCGACCCAUUUUAGGCCCAAAAAAUGUUUGUUUUGGCAAAAGAUUGCAUUUAGACAAAGCUUUUCAAAAUAAUGUUUGGCCUUGAUGCUCAUCCGCUUUUAUUGCAAUUCCUCUUCCAUUUCUCACCCAAAUCAUCUUAAAUUUCAUUUAAAAUGUUUGCAUUUGAGACCUCUAGAAGAUCCCUAUAGAUCAUAAUAUUUGCAUUUGAGCCCUCUAGAAGUUCCCUUUAUAAUUUUGUUGGAUCUAAAACUAAGAUAGUAGUUCAAAAUUCAGGGGAUUUAGAACCUCAAACUGAAAAUCUUUGUUUCACUCACUUUUUUUCAACGAAUUUGCUCAAAUUUGUGCUAAAAACAUUUCUAUUAAAUUGGUCCACAAAAGUCCUAACGAUCUUUUUGAUUCAAAAGAAAAAUAUCGCUUUUCAAUUUUUUGUCCUUUUCUUCAACAUUUUCCACCUUUUAUUUCAAGGAAUUUUUUUAUUUUGACUUUGUUUUAUACUUUUUAUUAGAUGUGGAACAAAAUUAAAAUUUAUUUUUAAAUAUUUUUAGUUUUUUGUACUUUUUGUCAAUUUCCUUAUUUUUGCUUUCUACCAUUCUUUGUUGUGUUCUUUUUCUGAGUCAGCUCAAUCGACUCGGACCAUGCAUCUUCUCGAUUCUAAGUACCAAACUGGGUUUAUUACACAGAUUCAGAUCCACUUUUUUUUUUUUCCAAAUUCUUAUCCAAAGUGAGAGAAAUCCGCCUAGGGGUGCCAACAAGUUGAGACCCGGACCUAAAAUAAAAAUAUGGACCUGGACCUGGAUCUGGACCCGACCGGACAUGAAGUUAUCAGAACCAACCGGACUUGGACCCAGAUCCAGACCUGGCUGGACCCAACCCAAAAAUAAAAAAAGUAUAUAUUUAAAAUUUUAAAUACAUUUAAGUACGGUGUAGUUUGUAUAAAGCCAAGGCUCUAAACAAUCAAAGUAAAUCACACCUUCAAAUAGUAUCGAUAAAUAUGGUUUCAAUAUUGGAAAUCUUUGUGAUAGCCUUAAAAAAUAUAUUUUCAUUUCUAAUUAUAAAACUUAAAUUUUCAAAAAUAGUGUAGCUCGAGAAAAUUUAUGAAAACUUGAAAAUCUUGAAAAGUGAUAGUCAAAAAAUGCAUCUUGUGAUGCACUAUUUCAAAACAUGAAAUCCAUUCUUUUCUCAUGUUAAUGCUUCUUGAGGUCAAGAUGAUCAAUUUAAAGAUAUUUGGGCAUCAAAACAACCAGUUCUAGUGAAAUUUUUGAGGUGUGCCUUAAUUUAAUUGUUUAAAGCCUCGUACUUAUAUAAAUUUUUCUUAAGUAUUAUGUCAAUAUAUAUAUAUAUAUAUAUAUAUAUAUAUAUAUAUUUAAAGGAAAAAGUUUACAUAAGAUUGCAACCUUUAAAUGUAGAAUUAUAUAUGCACAUAAAAAAUCCAUCGGAAAAUGUUGUUUUAAUGUUGAAAAAACCUCUAAUUGAUCAUCUCGACAUCGAGAUUUAUGAAUGUGAAAGAAAAAAAAUAUUAUGAGUCCCAAAAAUAGUGCAUCUUGCAUUACAUUAUCUAGACCAUCCAUUUUCAAGAUUUUCAUAUGUUUAUAGAUCUGUUUGAUUUUAACCAUUUUUGGAGUUUAAAAUUUUAUAAUUGGAUAUGAAAAUUGAUUUUGAGAUAAUCCUAAAAAAAAGUUCACCAAAAUUAUAUAAUAUGAUAAAAUUUGGAGGUGCGUCUUAAUUGGAUUGUUUAAGGUGAUAACCUUAUUAAAAGCAUAACUAAAAAUAUACAGUUAUAUUUAUUUAAAAUUAUUUAAUUAAUAACAGUAUUCGUAUCACCUGAAUAUUGUUCGAGUCUAACAUUUGGACCCAAAUCAGAUCCGUUGGGUCCAAUUUUUAGACCCAUACCAAACCCGAGUCCGAGUCCGAGUCCAUUGCCACCCCUAAAUCCGCCCUCCAAAAUUGAGAGUUAAAAAAAAAAAAAAAAAAAAAAAAAAAAGAAAUUUCCUUGUCCGAAGUGUAUACAUAGGACAUUUUUGAUAUGAAAAUGGUGGAGAGAUAAAAAGAGAGACAAAGCACCUCAGUCCUCAUCAUUUCUCUUGUCUUUUUUUAUUUCAUAUCUCUAUCGGCGAUACACGUGAACCUCGCAAUGCGUACAACGUGUGAGAAGUGGGCCCAGUCUCCCUUCACUUUGAAGUUUGAAAUAAUAACUCCAAUACCUUCCUGCUUUCAUCUCCACCGUACAUCUGCCUCUUUCACAUCCACUACUAUCGGGAUAUUUUUGGCGGGGGCAUUUCUGUCUUCUUUAUUAAUUUUUUUAUACAUUUUCAACUUUACUUCUAUAAUUAAACUAUGAGUUCUAUAGUUUACAAUUACACUAUUAGUAAUGACCGUAUAGACCUUCCUCUACUCAUCGGUGUAGGACCCUAAAUGAUUUUAUCGAUAUCUAGAAAAAUUAUGACACAAGGAUUUGAUUUUUUUAGAAAUUCGUAUCAAAUUUAAUGGUGAUCCUUUGAAGUCCUACAUACAUGAGUUGGGGAGAGUCCUGCAAGAUCAUUUCUCUUAAACUAUUUAUCCUCUUAUUGAGGAUGCACCUAAAAAAUCCAUAAAAAAAGAUUGUUUUAAUAUUGAAAAAUCCUCUAAUUGAUCAUCUUGAUAUCGAGAUGUAUGAAUAUAAGAAAUAUAUAUUUUGAGUAUCUAGUGUAUCUUGUAACACAUUAUUUAGACCAUCUAUUUUUAAGAUUUUCAUAUGUUUAUAGAUCUAUUUGAUUUUAACUAUUCUUUGGAGUUUAUAAUUUUAUAAUUAAGUAUGAAACUAGAUUUUGAGAUAAUCCUAAUACUUUUUACACUAAAAUUACAUGUUAUGAUAAAAUUUGGCGGUGUGCCUUCAUUGGAUUGUUUAACGUUGCAGCCUUAUAGAAACUUAUGUACAAUCUGAAUAAGGUUGCAAUUUUAAUUAAUCAAAAUAAAGUUGACCACCAAAUUUUAUAUUCGGAUAUAAUUUUGGUAUCAAGGAAGACAUGAGAAUCCAUUUUUAUCUUUGAUGUUGAAAUUUUAAGCUCUAAAGAUGAUUCAAAUCAAGUAAAUCUAUUAACAUAUGGAAAUCUUCAAAAUGAAUGUUUGAGAUAAAGUGUUGCAAGAUAUACUAUUUUUGGACUCGAAGCCUUUUUUUUUUUUGUCAUAUUCAUAUUUUCGAUGUCGAGAUGGUCAAAAUAGGGCUCUCCAGUUUCAAAAAAGCUUUUUACGAUGGAUUUUUUAGGUGUACUUUAAUUCUACAUUUUAAAUUUUAUCUUUUUAUCUUUCGAUCCAAGGAGCUAAUACUUAUACUUGACCGUUAUGUAAGAAAUCUAAUCGUUGGAUAUGCAUCACUACUUUGACACAAAUUCCCAAAUAAAAAUUAUGGGCACACUUCAAUUUAUCAAGUUUUACACCCAACGAUAAAAAAUGAUUGUGAUCUUCAUGCACUAAAAGUGAAUAAUCUUAAUAGUAGAUGAUCUCGUAAGUUAUAUGAUGUAAAUUUGAAUUUUUUUAAAAAGUAAUAUAAAAAAAUAAUAUGCCUUUUAAAAUAUUAUAAAAUCUACACCGUCCAAAUAAAAUAAAUGAUAUAGAUUAUUGCAAUAUUAUUUCUACAAAUGAAUCCAUAUAAAAUUAUCCCAAUGAUUAGGUGAAUUAGGCGAGUGAUUUUCACUUAAAAGUUUUUUGCCAAAAAUUAUGUUCAAUCAAGGAACUAAUUCACCCAUUUUGGCGAAAUAAUAAGAAUUUAGAAUAAAAAAUCUUGAUUCAAACUUUGAAUCGAGAUGAGUUCUACAACCCAUAAUUGAGAUCCGACAUGGUUUUUGAGGAGGCCGAUUCGGAAUUGAACCGAUGGAUAUUGAGAACAGUGAGAUAAACUAAGCUACUCUUUAGUUUAUGACGCUGCAAAAACUGGAAAAGCCCAGGGUCCCAUCUAAUUCCACAGAUUCCUUGCGAUUUCAGUCACUUAAUCCACCGUUGGUGACCCCAAAACUUUGGAUAACCUUUAUUAUCUCCUUAAUCAAUCAAUGUGAAAACAUUAAAUAAAAUUAAAAUUUCAGACUUAAAAAGUAAAGAAAAGGAGUGAGUCAAUAUCGAGACUGCGCCACUCGCUCAUUAAAUCGGAUGGAUAAUAGUGGACUACACCCUUUUGCUCACUCUUAUAUCUGAAAGUGCCACGUCACCCAAAAUUUGUAUUUUGAAAAUGACUGACUGCCAUUUGGUGGAAAAAGUAGAUGUCAGAUUUUAUAUUAUAAGUUUUUUUUUAUCAAAAUCUAUAUAAAAAAAACAGUUUAUAUAAGGUUGACAAAUGUUGUUUUAAUGUUGAAAAACUUUUUAAUUGAUCAUCUCCACAUCUAGAUAUAUAAAUAUGAAAAAUAAAUAAAUUUUGAGUCUUAUAAAUAGUAUAUCUUACAACACAUUAUCUAGAUUGUCCACUUUCAUAUAUUUAUAUAUCCACUUAAUUUUAACUAUUUUUGAAGUUUAAAAUUUUAUAAUAAAAAAUAAAACUAGAUUUUCAGAUAAUUUUAAGAAUUUUUUACACCAAAAUUACAUGUUUUGAUAAAAUUUGGAGGUAGGCCUUAAUUGGAUUAUUUAAGGCUGCAACCUUAAAGAAACCACACUCUUAACAUUUUAUACAUUUACAAAAAAAUUUUAAUUGGUAAUCAUGUGUAUUUUAAUGGGUAUUUUAAAAUCAAAUCAAACAAUAUAGGUAAAAAAAUUAAAUUGUUCAUCUCUUGAGAUUAAUGUCACCACUUUGUAUCAUAGGUAAAUGAUCUCAUUCCAUUUAAUAAGAUGUUUGUCUAGAGUUAUCAACCCUUUAAAAUAUAAAAAUUAAUAUUAUAAUGAGUUGUGAUGGAUAUAUUUAUGAAAAAAAAAAAGUGAAAGCGAACACACGAAGAAAGAAAAAGAUAGAAGUUUGGAGUAUAUAAAUGAAGAGAAAAAAAUGGUUGAAUUUAUAAAUAACAUGUUUUUUUCACAAUUGUUUAGAUUAAAAAAACGUCUAAAAGAUCAAAGAGUUAAAAAAUAUCUUUUGGAAUCUUGAAAUAAGACUUAAAAAUAAAAAAAAUAAAACUUAAAAUUAAAAGAUAUAAAAAUAUUUUUCUUUAAAUUUUGACCCUAAUGUAGUGGCAUCAUUACAUUAUUUUUUCAUGAUAAAGUAAAAAGGGGGUCACUACUUAUUGUUGGCGUUGGAUAUCAUCCAAGCCACCGACCAAUCAGGGAGUGGUAAUUGAAGAUAUGCUUUUAUGAUUUUAUGCUUAUUUUCUUGGGUGAAUAAUUUAAUUAUAAGCUUGUUUAGAUGGCCACACUUUAUCUGAAACCACCAUCUUUCCCUAUCCGCUGUUUCCAGUACCGACACUAAAUUGGGUCGGGCUUUGGUAACUCUCUCUACAGGAGUAGCUCUCUAGUAAAUUGGGUCAAAAGACCCGACUACACCGUGGGCUCGUAAGGUAUACCUGACAUCGGGUCCAGGUAUGUGGGCACCCAAAUACUAUUUAGGUUCGGGUCCAAGUCCAACUAAACCUGAAUUGUACUUAUAGCCAUAAGAUAUACGAUGACAAUUAUGUGUCUUUAGAUGGUUACUAAGUUGUUUACAUUGUCUAGUAAUAUUAUUUGAAAAAAAAAAAAAAACACAACCGUUAUAGUCAUACCGUAUAUGAUGGUUUAAAAAAAAUAAAUUCUUUUUUUUUUUUUUUGUCAUUGGGUAUCAUAUGGUAUUGGUUUUUUUUUUUUUUUAAAAAAAAAAAAAAAUUAUUUGUCAUUGGGUGCCAUUGGAUCCUACAAGACAUGGGACCCGAAGGGUAGAGCCGGGACCUUUGGACCGAAAGGCUAUUUGGAUCCGGGUUCUGUUACCGAAAGACCCGACUCGUUGCCACCCUUACUCUCCACCCACUCACUGUGAUGAUGAACCCUGCGCGUUUCUCUUUAAAGCCCUUCCAUGACCAUAGCUUCUUGCAUUUAGAGAAAGAGAGAGAGAAACCAUUGAUUGUGCUUGUAGCGAGAGAAAGAGAGAGAGAGAGAGAGAAGAGAAAGAUGGAGUUCCCAUUUGGGCACCAGCAGCACCACCACCACCAUAGGAGCCAUGAAGAGAGAGAAGAGGAGAGGAACCCAAAUGAAGAAGAGCCAUACCAGAGACACCCUCCUGAGCCUCGCUUUGAAAGGCCCCCACCCCCUGAAUUCUCCCCAUUUGAGAGGCCUCCUCAACCUGCUUAUGAUCCAUAUGAAAGGCCUGUUACUGAUGAAUUUGGUAAUCCCUCAUUUCAAAGGCCUCGUCCUCCUCAACCUGCUUAUGAUCCAUAUGAAAGGCCUGUUACUGAUGAAUUUGGUGAUCCCUCAUUUCAAAGGCCUCCUCCUCCUGGUGAAUAUGGCGAGGAUCCAUAUCGGAG